rnacentral:lncRNA from 1 species
AAAAUUUAAGAACCAUGUGUUUCUUUGGGAUCUCAAAGUUGAUUAAUUUUUAUAGUAAUGCAUAAGAGUACAUCUUCUUUUGGGAGAUAAUGCAUGAAUACAUAGGAGAUGCAUAAGAUACAUAGGAGCUAUAUAGCUUCCUUGUGUAAGUGGAUGUGACUCAUGAUCAUGCCACUAAACAUUUUUUUAUCAAUUAUGGACGAUAAUUCUUAGUAGAAGGAAGCUAAUUUGCAUUUUGAGCAAGUUCCUGCCAAAGUACAAAUGAAAUAACAACAUAAAUUCAGGACUAUAUGCAAAAUUGCAAUAAACAUGUAUUGUGUAAGUCAACUAUAUGUUGAGUACUGAAGCAAUAAUUGAUUCAAGAAAUUGAUUCUACUCAAAAUUGAGAAAAUCUUUUCGCCAAAAUAUCAAGAAUGACAAAAUGUGUCAAAACUCUAUACAUUGUUGAGAAAUUUUUACAUGGGGCAGAGACGCUACGUGGCCGUGGGGCAGACCAAUAGGAUGAUAUGUAAGUGUGUUAUAGCUCUAUGUAUUUAAAAAACAAGGAUAAUUAUGGUAUUUACAUAAAGUUUGUUACAUUCUUAUUAAGCUGCUCCACAACCACACGAUACGGAAAGCCAUACUUAAGAAUUUUUCUACAUUGUCAUAUUACAAACUGAGUUUUUAUUUUUUUCUCAACCUUCACCCGCCCUCGGUGUCGCCCGAUUUGAUCGGGGUUAAUAGAGAAGCCCAUCUUUGUCAGCCUGUCUAGGAAGGUAUUGCCUCCCAUCGAAAAAUCACAAACCGAUCACCCGUUUUGAUGAGCCGCUUGUUUCGUGCCACCUAGCAGCGACAUUUCUUGGAGGUCGACAGUCGAGAUCUUCCAAUGGAAGCAAGUCCCCGAUGUCGUGCGUUACAUCUUCUUCUCCUCUCCAGACAAAGAAGAAGCACCAAUUUGGAUUGACGCAAUCGAGUGCUAUUACAAACCUAGCAGGCAGCGGGUAGGGUUUAGUAAAGCUUUGACCGUGUGGUGCAGAGUACUUUUUUUUUUUUUUUUUUAAGACCUAUUAACUCUAAUUCAAGUAAGUAUGGAUUUUAAUAAAAUAAAAAAAUAAAAAAUAAAAAAUAAAUAAAACAGACUUUAAUAAACAUAGAGAGAAGAACACUAUUAUAUGAACUUUUUUUUUUUGGUAACACAUGCAUCUUUUCUUAUGUAUCAGCUAAUGUGGCACAAACACGUCAGUUACUGAAAUCUAUAUGAUAGAUUGAACUUUAUACACUUUUGUCAUAUAUGCUGCCACAUAAGAUCAGAUUAAGUGAUACCUCAAAAGAUGGUCAAUCUAGUAAAACCGUAAUGAUUCUUUUACCUCCACCAAGGCUCCGACAUCUACCUCCUAAAAGCAUCCAUCGAAAAGGAACUGCCUAACUGUUCACCCACCUAUUCUCCGAUGGUGCGACCCCGUGGCUACCACCAUAACACAAACACUAGCCUACACCGGCCAUAAACUCAGAUGGCCCCCAACAUUGAGCGGUACUUAUCUCAGCACAAGUUAGGUAGCUAGCUAGGCAUAUAUAUGCAGAAGUACAUAGCUUUGCUAACGAGGGUGCAAAGAUAAUCAGGUUAAAGACCUGUGCGCACUAGGAAAGCUAGAUCAUGACCUACUCACUUUUCUUUUCUGAAUUAAAACCCUGAAGCUGAAGGUUCCUUUCCUUCCUUCUACUGUUUCAAUAAUAACCAAGUGGGCUCGUGACUCAAACUCCUCCAGCCAUAGCUUUUGAACCUUCGAAGUCCACACUCACAGUCACUGCUAUAUUUUCCAGUAGUGAUCUACUGGGUAAAACAAUGCAAGGCAAGAAAACGUGGAAGGCAUCUAUUUGUUAAAGGAGGGCCAAAUUUUCUUCCUGGGAUGUGGAGGCACUAGUUGCCAACCUCCCCCAGCCGACUAAAGGGCAUUGAUAGCGCUUGGUUGCAUCAUGGUUCAUGCCAGUCCACACCUACCCAUGAGUGCAUGCCCAACCCCAAAGCUGCAUUGUUUAUCUAAAGUAAUGUUAUCUUCAAAGUUAAAUAAGGACAUGCAGUCAGCAGGCAUAUACAUCAUUUUCUUUUGGGACAGUUAUUGUUUUUUGUUUUUGUUUUGGUGAUGUUGCAUGUGUAGUCUAGUGUAAUUAAAAAUCUUACUUUCAUGUUUAGCAGUUUUGCAAUUACAUUUGCCAUGAAAGUCUUUUUUGACCAAUAUUAGUAAUUUGUAUCAAAAUCAAAAUGAUACCAACAGUUCAAUUCCAAGAAAAUAUAGGGACCAGCAAAUUGUCUUCUUUUUUGUUUGAAUUAGUCCAAUAUAUAUAUAUAUAUAUAUAUAUAUAUAUAUAUUAUAGAAGUAAUUAGUGACGUAAUGAAGGAUAAUAUGAUUCGUUGUUGUGAGAGACAUUUUCCUUCAAAACUUAAAGACUCUUCUUCUAUCCAUCUAAUAAUUCAAUCUUUUCCAAUAGUCAUAGAACUAUAUAAUCCAUUCAUGUAAGGUUAAAUUUUUUUUUCCCGAUCAAUUGCCAUUAUCUUUUUAAUUCCAAGUUAGCAAACAAGCCAUAAGUUUUUAUUAAAAAUUAUUUUGACACAAAACAUGUUGAAUUCUAAAUCGGUUACCACUAAAGCGAACAUACGGUUGACACUAAAUAUGUUUAACAUUAAAUCAUUUCUUACAACAAAUUUAGAUCAGUCUAGAAGUUGGAUCACUCCCAUAAUUCUAGCAUGAUCUCCAUGAUUAGUAGUCAACAAGGAUGGUCUAGAUCAAGGAUCCAUUAUUUACUAAGAGAAACAAAGAUGUGUCAUUCUAUAUCAAUUGACGAUGAUUGUUGUAGUAUUGGUGAAAAUAUGAAGCAUUCAUUAUAUCAUUGUAACGUUAUCUUCACAUCUUUCAGCCGUUUAAGUCUCAUUGAAUGUGGAAAACUCUGUUGAUUGUAUGACGAUCAUAAUGAUUAACGAGCAGUCAGAGCAUAUAUAUUAUUGUGAGGUCGUGACAAAUGACCCACAAGAUCCUAACAAAAAUUGGUACACUGAAAACAAGGAAUGUCAAAUUGUCAACUUAACUAGUAUAUCCUUUCCUUGCAUUCUCCUAGCUUGUCUUGAAAUGAAACAUAUAUCAAAGAAGUGGCAAAAUUUAAGCUUCCUUUUACACACGUACCUAGCAUAGAGCAAGUAAUUACUACUCCAUCACGUUGCGAGGUUAGUUAUCUAACCACCUUUAUCAACAAGGGUACGAGAAGAUUAUAAAAAAAAAAUCACUACCACACCAAACCAAUACUCUGAUUAGUGAAUUAGUUUAAGAGAGAUUUUUGAAAGAUUAAGCUAAUCCUGUUAAGCCUAAUGCGUAGUGAUUAAGUUAACCAAUAGCGCUAUGAGUAUAUAGAGACUAGCUGUAUAUUCGAAAACAAACUAAAAAGGAUUGUGGAGUCUUAUCAGGAUUUGCAAUUUGAUGAGACACAUGUAUAUGGAGACAAAGAAUAAAUUAGGAUAUAGGAAUUUUGAGUUCUGCCUUUAGAUCGAUUAUUGCACAAAUGUAGUAAGAUGCCCCAUGUUUUGGAGAUUCUAAUUCAACUAAUUUUGCUGAAAGCAGAAAGCCAAGGCUGAGUAUUGGACAGAAUUUGUGUGACCAAGUCUUGUUACCUCUAGGUGACAAGGGCCAAUAACAAUGCACCACCUACCCAUCAACUUGUUGCUCAAGGCCUUUUGAUGUCACUAUGUUUACAAUUUUCAGUUUUUUUUUAAUACAAGACUAAAAAUGACAGGUGACGCAUUGUAAUUGGUUCUUGUCACCUAGAGGUAACAAGACCUGGUCACCCAAGUUCUAUCCCUAAGUAUUUCACAAUAUUGCUACUACUAGAAUUCUAGAAAAGCACAAGAGGUUAACAACUAAACAUAACAAUGGAUUCUAACCAAUAUGGGGAGUGUGGAUUAUAAUUUGGGGAGUGUGUAUUUCACAUCCUUAUAAUUUCUAUAACAACGGAUAAAUAUGCAAAGAUUCCUUUAACUUUUGCCUCCGGGGCCGGUGAAUUUUAGGUGCUGAAACACAUUACAAAGAGAGCAUUCAUAGCGACAUUUUUAUUGAUAGAAUAUUACUGGAACCUAUAGAUAAAAGGAAGAAGUCAAAUGGCCUGAUUUGGGUUUCCAAAUGUUGAUCAUCCUGACAUUCUUCACGAGUUCUAUUGAUACCAACAUGAACUAAAUGUGCAGAGAAAGACAGGGAAUUAGAUUCUUGGAGGAUUGAAAAUGGCUCUAAUUUGGCGCAGCUACAUACCUACACGCCCCGUAAGGAACAAUAAGAGCAUCUCCAACAGCUUCUCCAAAAUUUCUCUAAAAUGGGGAAGCAAAAGCUAAAAUCUCCAAAAAAAAUUAUGCUCAAAAUCCCCGUAAGGAACAAUAAGAGCAUCUCCAACAGCUUCUCUAAAAUUUCUCUAAAAUGGGGAAGCAAAAGCUAAAAUCUCCAAAAAAAAUUAUGCUCAAAAUCCAACAGUUUCUCUAUUUUGAAAAUUUAGGCAUUUAAUACAACAAUAAAAUAUACUAUAUCAUUAUUAAUUAUAACAAAAAAAUAUUAUAUAUUUCAUUGGAACAAUAAAAUACCCAAUAAAAUAUCCUAUUAUUGUCUUAAAUUCGUUGGAGCACGUGAAGAAUUUAAUUUUGGGGAAUGAAGACUUUGCUGCAAAUUUAGGGAAUGAAGGCUUCUCUUUCUUCUCCAUCCCCGUUUUGGAUGGGGAAACUGUUGAACCUAAAAACAACUCUAUAUUCCCCAAAAUUGAGAAGUUCAAGAAAAUGGAGAAGUUGUUGGAGAUGCUCUAAUAUUUAAACAACUCGAAUCUUAAGGUUCCAUAAAUAAGGUGAUUAAGGUCUAUUUUAGGGCCAUUUUGAUUGACAUGGCUAACCAUCCCAAGCCACGACUUGUUGCUAGAUCCACUGAAAUAUUCUACUCAAUUUAAUGUAAAACGGAUAUGGGGAAAAUUGCAAGUCAUAGAAAGAAAAAAGGUUAAAAUACCUAGAAAAGAAAUUUGGCCAAACUAGCUUUGCUCAGUUUGCUGCCUAAGUAAUGUAAAAAUCUGUCGUGACUUGUGACACAUAUUUUGGACAAACAUAUCAACUAAAAUUAAGCAUACUUGAAUUAUGUUUAGAAUUGCCGUUGUUUUUAUAGAACAAAACCAAAGCAUUUCUAACUGACCCUGCAUAUGCUAAGUGCGACCUCACCAAAGACUCUGUAUGUUUUAGUUUUGCCAAAGUAAAAGCUCUCACAUUGUAUGCAAGGGACUCCAAUGGCUUGAAGCCAUGGAACUUGGGAUAGAUCCAACAAAACCCAAUAACGAUGGAAUAUAAUGAUGCAUCCCUUCACUAAGACAAAGUCCAAUGAAUAGACUCCAUCAAAGACGUAUUAAUCUGAAAGGCCAAGAGCAUCUCCAGCAGUGUAACUAAAACAAUAAUUAAAUUUAGCAAUAAUUAUGAGAUUUAGCUAUUGAUAUAAGAAUUUGGUUCCAACAGUUAUUGCUAUAUGUAAGUUAAAUAAUAUUUUUAACGAAUUAUACACUGACACGUGGAGAAAAAAAAAAAGAAAAUAUAUGUAUUCCUUUAGCAAUUCAUGGCUCAAUUGAUAAAUUUAUCAAUUUCGUUUAGCAAUCCUUAAAUUUAGCAACCAUUUAGGUAUACUGUUGGAGUUCCUAUUCAUCCGAAAAGUUGAUAAAUUUCAAAAAAAUUUGAUUUAGCAAUACUGCUGGAGAUGCUCUGCUAUUUGAGGCAAUUGUUUUAUCCAACUUUCCGGAGGAUGAAGUGCAUUUUGAGUUGGCUCUUUGUGAUGAAUGUGGAUAAAAUAUAAUCUACCUAUAUCUAUAUGUUGACUGUAUCAUUUUUUAUUUACGGAGUCAUGAAGGUGGGCAAGGUCAACAAUACAAAACUAGAGGAAGCCUAGUUCCAGUCAAGAUUGGUAAUUAGUCCUUGGCCUUCAUGCUUGGGAGAACAGAAAUGGAAUUCCACUUUGCUAUGCUGAGUCUGGCAUGAGAACGAGUAGCCGGUCUUCCAAGGAAAAACGAGGCUCGGUCACCCCGAGUCCUGAAGGGUUUGAACUGAACUGGUAUACGGUAUACUUGCAACAUCUACAGAGGCACAGAGCUUCCACAACCGAAAGUUAGGAGUUAAGGUCAGAGUGGGAUAUUUAUUUGGAACAUAGAACGUUCCAACAAUUAUUCCACGAUGAAUGAGGAAUGCAGCGUUCUUGUAUAUGACAAUCGUGAUAUGCACGUUAUAUAAAUUCAUCAAGUAUUGAUCUCCACAACAAAGAAUUGCCGAGGGGUGAGAACUGUGUUACAUAUCACGAUAGACAAUUUCUUUAUUUCAAAGCCAGUUCAUAAUCCAAGAUUUAGUAAAUUGGGGUACAAAAUCCUCUUAUAUUCAUGCCAUAGCACAGUUACUGAAACAACCAAAAUUGAUAAUGCUCGUACAGGAGUAAUCCUAAAGCUAUAUAACCAAUUAUUACACAUUCAUCUUGUCUAACCUUCAUGUGGGCGGUGGCAGAUGUUGAGUAUUAGGUCUUGGGUCUUUGUUCUUCUGGUCUGUGUCGACUAUUUGUGCUUCAACUUUUCUCUCCUCAUCAGCUAUAUCAAGCAUAGCCUGGUCAUGCAUGGUUUUCAUCAUCUGUUUCAUUGUUCUCUCCUCUCCUUCAAGUUGUGUUUUCAUUAACCUCUGAGCCUCUUGGUCGAGUGGCUUGAAGUACUCUUCAAUAGCAGCCUCCUGCACACAAAUGCAUUCAAUUUCGUCACAUGAGACAAAGCUUCAUCAGAGAAGAGCAAACAGAUAGACAGACAAUAAACUACGUAAACAAGAACCAUUUGUUAUAUUGCAAGGAUAAGUAAAUGAUUAAAAUGAACACCAAUGAGAGUUCUGGGGAGUAUGCAUUAUUGAGGGGAUUUUGGGUAUAUAAUUAGCAUGGUGUCAUGCUCAGUUUUCAAACUUUUGAUUGAGCAAGAUAGGUGCAAAAGAUGGAAAAUGUAUCCAGUAUGUGUCCUAGGAUACUGCUUUUAAGAUAUCUAUUUUAAAUAGUAAAAACAUAGAGUUAUCAAAACCCUACUAACAUAAGCUCAUCCCAAAUAAAAUCAGCACUAGCAACAGAACUUACAGUCUCUUCUAGCUGCUUAUUUAAAUUCUGCAUCUCCUCAACCAUACGGCGAACCUCUGACAAAAUAGUCUGCUCAGGAAGCUUUUUUAUAGCCAGCCUCCGCUCUUCUGCCUGAAGACAUAAACACAAGUGCUUUGGUCAUAAAAGAGGUGGGAAAAAGAAUUUUGCACUCGUAGUAUUAAGGCAGGUCUAGUUCGGCUAACGGUGUAAACUAAAGCUAUAAAAAUUUACAGCAACUAGGGCGAGAUAGGAGAUACCAAGUAAGAGAUCCAGUCUAAGAUAUUCAUUCAAAAAUAAAGCCAUAAUGAGCAGCUCUUAGGACAAAGUUGACUAUUGCAAAUAUUAGAAAUUGCAAAAAGAGAACAAUUACAGGUUGCAGAAGAAUUGACAUAGACAAGUCAUUUCCACAAAUUCAUUCACUUCUCUUCAAGGGUGAAACAAUUGAAUUAUCAUACUUGGUGUACAGAAUAAUAUUCGGAUUGCUCCUCUGCAUCUCAAAUCGUCAUUAUUAUGAAGUUAAGUUUUCUUAUCACCAAAGUGGGACAAUACAGAAGGCAAUAAUGAUACCAAGAAAGCAAGAAUGGUCAACAAGUCGAGAGAAAAUAAACACUUAGAGUAACAGCAAGGCUAUCUUUCUUUGUUUAUCUCUCGGCCCACCCUCUUGAUGCAGAUUUUAAGGCUACACAGGACAAGUGAGAAGUUCUUGAGGAUGUUUUAUUGGUCAUUCAUGAAAGUACGAUACAUGUUUAGCCUAUAGUAUACACAAUUAACAGGUGAAAGCAUACUUAUGAAAACUGUCCACCAUUUUCUUAAGUAUCUAACAAGCAGUACGUUAACAAGUUCUUAUUUCUCAACACAUUCAGAAAGCAAUCAAGUUCAGCAUCCUCAUCAUUAUAAAGGCCGCAUAACGUAAGUCCUGAUCAAGAAUCUAAGUUGAACUCGGCCGCCAAAUUGCAGCUGUCUACUAAACCAAAAGGUAAUGCUCAAUUCUUCCGGAAAACUAGCAUACUAAAGCCUAACGUAAUGCACAAUUCUUCCAAAUGAACCUGAGAGGCCCUUAGAACUAGGUUAACAAAAAUAUCAACCGAAUCGGAUACACUUCAAAUGCUGGGAAGCAACUAAUUCGACAUAAUCAAGUAAAGGACUCAUUUCGUUCCAAAAGAAAAGCAACAAAUCUAGAAGAAGAAGAAGAAACCUGUUUGAGACGCUGCUCGCACAUGAGGCGAUAGGAUCGGAUUCUCCGUUCUUCAUAGCCGGAAAGAACCCUGGCGUAGAACAGAGCUUUCCUUCCGAAAUCCAAUAUCUUAUUCAUACUCUUGUCCACCAAUCUGCCAAAACGCAGCGUUUAGAUCGUCAGACGAUAACUAGAUAGGAAUCCGAGAAAUAGGAAAAGAAUCACCGUCAAGUUUUCUGACCUUGGGGAGUAGCUGCCCCGAUGGGAAUGCUGAGCUGACUACAGAGGGGAUUCAGAAUUUGAGACUGGACGGACCGGGGCUUUGUUUGGGCCGAUACAUUUUAUGAAUGCUUUGUUUUGUUUUUUAAAUAGCGACGCUUUGUGUAACAUAACCCGAUAGUGUUCUCUUCUCUUACAUUUUUUACACAAACCGAUAUUCAACUCAUGACCUUAACGUUUAUUAAGACAACUAAUAAACCAGAGCAUAGCUCACCGAUAUAUGGAUGAGCGGACAACAAAAUCACACAAUUCAAUCAAUACUCAAUUCUCUCUGGUGUAUUGAUCAAUGACUAACCAGAUGAACAUUUAAAUUAGUUGAGUCUCUUUAGAAAUUCAGUCAUUAGAAUAACUUGUCGUUUUUAUACUUAGACAAGCUACUCUGCCGGACCAAGACAUUUACAGUCGAUUUGUGAGAAAGUAUCUUUCGAAUUGGUGGAUACAGAUUGAGAAGCCGUCUCUUGGAGUUGCUCAGUUAGUGAUGGAUUUAAAGUACUGAAGUCCUGGUAUACGUUCUACAAGUCAAAAUUUGGGUAAACCAAAGUCAAAAUUUCGGUAAAACCAAAAAACUAAUGCAACAUCUGGGCACCAAUUAGGUAUCACCCAAUGGAGAGUCUAUGGUCUGUCCAUGAAACACUUUCUGGGGUCAAAACUGCCUCAUUUUGCUAUACGGUAGACAGACACCAUCGUAAUCUCAGCAUAUGCACAUACAAACUGUGACCAGCUAAUGAAACACUUUAGGGCACACACUACUAGGACCUUGAGGGCUGUUUAACCCAACAACCCUCAGACGAGUAAUGAUUCCCUUAUUAGUAGAAGGAUCAUUACUUUCAAUUGAGAUAAUGAAAAAUCAUUUCCCUUUUUUACUUUUUGGUUGAAACUUUAGGCGGUUCGCGAUCCUUUCGGCAUGUGCAAUUUAUUUUGCGUCGAUACGCCUUGCUAUUUGUACUUAAAUUCCUUUUAUACCUGGUGCAAUUUAUUUUCCAUCGAUACGCCCUGCUAUUUGUACUUGAAUUCCUUUCAUACCUGCGAUCCAUUCAGCUCAUGCAAUUUAUUUUCCGUCGUGUAUUUGAAAUCCUUUUAUACCUGCUUGCUCAGUUAAUUCAAUAGCUUUUUUCAUGUUCCUGCAGCUCGGAUGAGUAUUCUUGUUUAUAUCGCUACAGCUAUAAGCACUUUCUUUUUCCUAUUAACAAAACAUCCCUUUUUCUUCGCUCUUCCGGAACCGGUAAAGGCGGAACAUCACACCAUGUCUCUCUCAUCGUCAUCACAACAAGGAAGAGGAAACAACUAAACAAUUCUAGUCACUAAAUCAAAUUCAGCAAAAGACAAUUUUCAACACUAAACUUGUCAGGUUUAGGAAGCAGUUUAUAAAAGGUAGCAUUCAAAGUAUCCUGGGAGUGUAGCCAUGCCACAACCAGCAGCACAACUACAAAACCACUACCAGUCUACAACCCACAAAAAGGGAAUAUUAACAGAGAUUAUGAUGUUUCCAAGUUGGUGGACAUAAAACCCUAUUGACAUGCAACUCUUCAUUGUUGCCUCUGUACGCACUCUUUUUGUUAACUACGGAAAAGCAGCUCAAUCCCUCCUUUUCUUCUUCUUCUCAUUCUUUUCAGCAUUCUUCAACUGCAUAAGCAACAAAGAAACCAUUUAGGGUCUGCAAAUUAACGGCGAAAACUGACAAAAGAAGGAAAGCUACUUUGAUACUUACCAUGAUGAUGAGUAUGCGAACAAAAACAGCAAUGAAAUCAGUGAAAAGGGUCAGGGCAUGCUUCACAUAGUCCAGAUCACCGUGGUGUGCCCUCUCAAUCAUCUCCUGGGUGUCAACUACCAUGUAGCCCACGAAAAUCAUAAGGCCAAAAUACAGCUGCAAACAAAAAUAAACAAGUGUUAAUAGCCAGAAAACAUCUCCUUACUUCUUCAAAUGACCAUAGAAAACACUGCAUUAUGAUUCAUUACCUCAAACUCGAAAAGGGAAGCAGAACCACCAAAGAUGGCAGAUACAAAUCGCAACCACAGAAGGAUGGACACGCCUGAAGAGAGCAAGCCCCCAAGAUAAAGGUAUUCUCUGCGCUUCGCCAACGUGGCUGCUGCUGAGAAACAACCAAAGGCCAAAGCAGUUCCCCCAAAGGCACUGAUCAGGAUGCUGUUCAAAAAAAGAGAAAGGAAAACAAACAGAUCAGAAUGGUGUUCAAAAUUUAUCCACAUGUUCGACAGUUUAAGCUACAUGACACAUAAAAAAAAAAUGAAAGUAUACAACACUUGUACUAUCAUUAAAACAAAACAAAACCAAUUGUGUUGUAAGAAAUUAGAUCCCAUAUUUGCAUAGUUUCUUACUCUCAAAGAUAAAAUUAUAGUUCAAUCUAGAGUUACUCCCAAUUACUGUUAAACAGAAAAGUACACAGCAAAAACCUAAUAACAAGUAGAUACCUUGGGUUGAUGUUGAUGGCCAGAUCAAUGAGAGGACCAACCGUAGCCCCUUGAAAGGUUGCAGCCGCCAUUAGUAGAGAAAGUCUCUUUUUCUGUGCAAUAGAAAACAACCAUCAAUACAAAACAUAACACCACAAAAGACAUGACUGAGAAAGCUAAAGAAGGAACAAUCAGUAACUAUACCUCUUCAUAGGUAGGUGUGGAGAGUAACCAGAUAGUACAUCCGACAGUGGCAAGAGUAGUUAGAAGGCCACCGAUGUUCCAAAUAAGAUGCAGGUAAGCUCCAGCAGCCGCACCAACGAGAGCACAACAUAGGGUAAGGUAGACCUGCAAGAAUAAAUCAAAUUAGUGCACAAUUCUAUCAUAACCAUAUGCUAUAGAUUUCAAGAAGCCAAUACAAAAAAUACAUUCAACCAAGGUUAAGCUGAUCCUAAGAACUCAACCACAAAUUAAGCCUCUGAGGAUACCAUGUUUGAAAAAUAAAGCAGAAAAGCUCCACUCCAUUCUGAGUACUAAACCUAUUCAAAAUCUCCUCUACAAGUAAUGUCCUCUGUUCAGCUAUGUUCUUUAAUUCUACAUUUCUACUAAUCUUGGAUGCUAAUUUAUAUAACAAUUAUAUGUAAAGAAACGAACCAAACACGAACAGAAACUCGCAUUCGCAAAUUCCAACAAACACUAGACUGCACAAUUUAUAGAACCAGCACGAUUUUCUCAUCAAACAAAUUAAAAUAAGCAAGAGCAUAAGAAAUUCGUAAACGUAUUUUCAUCUAAUUGCGCAAACGAAACCCUAGAAAUCACAAUCAGCACAAUAAACUCUAACCAAUUGAAGGCGAACAAGAACCCUAAGACGCACAUACAGAUAACGAAUUCACACACGUAUUACGAUCUUCUACUACAAUUUCUCGGUAACCAAACACGGCCGAAACGGAGAGCGAAAUACUGAUCGGAGAAAGAGGCUUACCAGUUUGAGAUGGUUCUGAACGACGGGAGAGAUCUGACGGAAGUUCUUGAGCGACUCGUAAGUCCAGCGGUUCCGUGAAGACGAUUGGGAAUCGAAGAAGGAGUUGAAGGCGUCCAUGGCUUGCUUCGCAGAAAAGAAAUUUGCUCGGAAAAUAAAGUGAAAAAACUGAUGGAGGGGAAUUGGGGAUCGGGCAUUUAUAGAAGGUCUCGUUGUUUGUUACCUGGAAACUUCCAGAUGUUUAAUGACGAUAAUGGCCUUGUGUUGUACAGCACCGAAUUUACGUUUCUGUCCUCGUGGUAUGGAAUGAGAUCCAUGAAAAUUUGCCUAGGAUCCGAAAAACAUAGUUUUUGUUUGGUAGAAAAAAAAAAUUGUAAUAUACAUAACAUCUUGGGGUUGAAUAGGAGAGACUGAGAGAGUUCAUUACUUGGGUAGUUACUAAUAAUGAAUUUGUAUUUUAUAAAUGAUGGUUAUUUUGAGGUCUCGUUAGCAUUUCAAAUUCAUUAUAGAACAUUAUGUCAUCAACAUUGCAAGUUAAAUACGUUAAAACAUUCAACUUUUUAAAUAAUAAACAUUUUAUAACAUAUUUAUUUUGAUUUUAAAUUAAAACACAUGAACUAUAAUCGAAAAUUUCACGAUAUUAUCUUCAAAACUUAGUUAGACAAUUGAAAGACCAUUCGGUGUAGUGAGGCUUCUAUGAGUUGGGUAUUCUAUUUGUCUUAUUUUAUAAAACAAGAUAUGAGUUGGGCUACUCAAGAUAAAAAAAAAUUAGUUGGGCAUUCGGGUCACACCAAAAUGGAGUCGGUAGGGGUAUUUUGGUAAACUUAGCUGAUGGUUCUGGACCUCUCGUGAUUGUUUGACUCGGUUCGACAAUGACGAGCAAUAAAAUCCGGUCUAGGUUUUUCCGCUUCUCGUAGCUUCGGACCAAAGAAAUAUCUAACAACAAAGCCCCACCAAUAAAACCCUGCCACGUCAAGGUCAUGACAUUGUUUGCUCUGAUUGGUCAUAAUCAAUCCUAAUUUGCUUACAAUAGUCAAUUACCACCUGGUAUAAUUAUAUGUUAAGAACUAAGCAUUGACUAUAGCUAGUCGUUGUCUUAACAAUCAUUUUCCUAUUCGUUUUGGUAAAAGUACAUGUUAAUCGUGAUCAACCGUAAUGUAACAUGAAGUGGAGAGUAGAGGACACACUACUGAAAUGAAAUUCAUACCCGAACUUUGUAACACUUUUGACAAAAAAAAAAUUGUAACAUUAUUCUUUCCCAGGCCCGUUUGAGAGCGGACGUCACUCCGUUCUCCAUCCUCCGACGCGCCUCCAUCUCAGAAAACUCCAAUAACGUCCUCGACCACUUUCCCUCCCCGGCGAGUCCGUUCUUUUCCAGUUUUCCGAGGAGAUCACCCAAAAUUUCAAACAAGAUCGAUCUCGUCGGAAAACUAGAAAAGAACGGACUAACCGGUGAAAGAAAGUGAUCAGAGACGCUGCUAGAGUCUUCUGGGGUGGAGGCGCGCUGUCGUCGGCGCCGGAUGGUGAAGAACGGAGGGACGUCCGCACUUUAAGCCGAGUGCGGACGUCCGCUUCUGAACGGCUCCGAUUCUUUAACAGCUUAAACUUUAACGCUAUAAAUACACAUCAACGUAAGCCUAUAUAGGAAGAAACACCUCCUAGAAAGAUCCUUCAGAAGUACAGGACAUAAUCUCUGAUUCUGUUAUGUUAGUAUUUACAAACGUUACAAGUUGCAGAAAGAAUGCAGCAUCAUAUAAAGCUUAACAAUUAGAAUGGAAUUUACCAUGAUUUGUUAGCUGAUUAAGCCUUCAUUUGAGACAUUGUUAAUUGGCUUGGUGAUGAACUGAUGAUGCCUUGUCCAUGUAUGGAGCAAUCACCAAUUCACCUUCUAUUCUAAAAUGCCAGCUAUGAUACCAACCUCUGAAGCUUGUGCUUUCUCAGUUCUUCAUGGCAUGGAGCGAAAAACUCAUGUUUAAGCGCUUCCUCUGCACUUAUUCUAACCCUAGGAUUCACCAUUAAGCAUUUAUCCACAAGAUCGAAAAGUGGUCUUGGGAUUUCCUCAAAGAAGUCUGGUCUCCUUGUAUUCUUUCUGCACCAAUCCUUUACUUUAAUAGAGGGCAAACAAUCUGUACUGUAGAGCUCCUGUGAGAAAAGAAUAUUUCACAGUUCAAUAUAUCUUCUGAUGUACACUGCAGUGAAGUAAAAAACAGAUUUGAAUGAUAAUUACCGCUGGAAAUGAGGAUUCGCGGUCGUGUAGCUUGGCGACUUCCCAUAAGUCUUCACUGCCUCUCAGCUUUGCAAUAUCCUUGAUGUUCCUGGUAAUAAGCAUAGUAUGAUUGGCAAAAUGUAAAAACAGAAUGCAAAAGACAAGUACACAUAAAUCUUAAGAAAAAAAAACAAGGAUAUUUGGAUUUACAGUUCAGGUUCGCCAAGGAAAGGUGUUCUGCCAAUCAACAAGUAUAGUAACGUGACUCCGGCAGACCAGAUAUCAACUUUGGGGCCCUGAUGAGGAGAUCUUAAGAGAACCUGCAUAGACCAUGGUCAAUACCCCCAUCAGUCCAAGGAAAAAUUUCCAGAAAUGAAACUCAUGCUAAAUGCUGUAAGGUUUCAUAAUUUAUAAAUAUUUACUAAUUCUCUAUAAACUGGAACCUACUUUCCCACAUAAUCCAUCAAGAGUCAAAACUACACUUUUACAACAUAACAUAAUGUAGUAAGAAGGGUAUGAGUCAUUAGCAACACAUCCACCUACUUGUUUCUCCUGAAGUGUAUUUUGGGAAAGGAAAAAAAAAAGCACGGUAACUCUCGGCAUAUAUUUUUAUUUUUUUUAAUAGGGGUAACUCUCAGCAUUUUAGCAUACAUAGUUGGCACAAACUCAUAUAUGUUGGAUAUACUUAAGACCGUUGUUUGUUGUAAAUAAUCAUAAUCAUAAAUGUGCUUGCAACACUAGUGUUGUGGAUAUAAAGAUAGAAAGCAAGGCGAUUAUACAUUAUUAAAUGUUUAUUAGGAAAAAACCUGACCUCUGGAGCCCUGAAGCCUUUAGUCCCAGCGCAAGGGCCUUCUUUAUGUUUUCCAGAACCUAAGAAACAAAAUUAAUACGAAAUUUUUAGGAAAGAAAAAUGUUUAUUCGAACAUAUUGAGAAAACUACUAAAAAGGAACAAACCUCUGCUUCUUAUCAAGCAUGGACCACCAAAACCAUUGGAAGUUGAGUGCAUAGGCAUUGGAGUGACAUGGAAAAACUUGCCAUCGACAUUUACGGGAGGGGCAGGAACCCUCUUUCUCAUAAGAGCUGAAAUACUUGACGCCUCAUUAUUUGUACUUUCCCUUGCUUCCUGUACUAGAUUGAUCAAUUCUUUCCUUCCUUGGCAUGGCAAAGGUUCUCUCAUCCUUUCAGCCGACAGAGUCCUGGUGCUUGUAACAUCCUUUACUGACGUUAUGCCUGAGCCAUCUGCACCCUGACUUUUGAUUACCUUUCUACUACCCGAAUCUUUAUUUACCUUCAUUUGGCUGAAAGCCAUUUUCUUUAGAUCCUUCAUAUCAAAAGUGGAUUUCAAACCUUUUGAGGUCUCUCCAUUGGCUGUUAGUAAAGAUUUACCACUUGGCAACUUCCUAAGUGUGAUUGGAGGUAUACUUUUUGCAGUCAUAAGCUUCUCAUCACUGUUUACAUCAAAUCCCCCUCUUGACUUACCUGUGGGAUUUUAAAAUUAGUUUCGCCAUGUUAUAAUCUUUAACGCCAUAAAUACUAAGACCAACAAACACCAGAUAAAAAUAGUUCCCGGACUCUAUGAAUGAGAGAGUGAGGGACGGGUGAGAGAGAGAGAGAGAGACUGUUAAAAGAGAAAAUGCAUCAGAUUUAUAGCCUAGUGAUCAAACUAAUCUUAACUCUUGACAAUCUAUUUACUCAAUAACGGAAAAAAAAUCCAAGUCCAAUAACUAAAACCAUGUCAGCAGAAAAUCUAGAUACACAGAGGAAGAUGAAAGCUUACUAAUAUUUCCAUACUUCUGAUGCAAGUCCUGUCAAACAACAAAAUACAAAUGAAACACAAUUAGACAGAUAAGUAAAUUAGUGACAAACUAAUAAGACCAUUAAAUACCAAUACAAGUAAACUAACCAUGGAUAGAUUGAAAUCAAUUAGGUAGCCCUUGUUGGCCUUACGAGAGAAAAGGAAAUUGCCGGGUUUAAUAUCUCUAUGUACUAUUCCCUGGAAUACAGAAAUAUACAUUAUAAAGAAACUUUUACUAAAAGAUCCAGAAUCCAAAUAGAACAUACAUAGCAACUGUGCCUACCUGCUUAUGAAGGCUAGCAAGUGCUCUAAACAAGCAAUAUCCAUACCACCGGAGCUCACGGACAUCUAUCUCUCUCUUUAAAACCUAAAGAUAAUACCAACAUAAAAAAUAAGACCAAAAAGAUCUGUCUUACUUAAAAAAAAAAUAAAAAAAAAAGGAAAGAAGAAGAAGAAGUAAAGUGAACUGAAGAGAAUUAAACAAGAAGUCAUCAAAAUGUCCAAGGUUACCUCUGGUCUAUCAUGCUCAACAUGCUGUAAUACAAAGCAACUUGAAUUCCCAUUCUUGAUACAGCCUUCAUAUUUGAUCACAAAAUUUCUUCCCCUGAUUACAAAUUUACAAGGAAAUAAGAAUCUACACAAAAGCACAAUGUAUUUGCUCAAGUAAAACUUGUAAACUACUUACCCAAACCUUUCCAGCAUUCUCAACUCGUUGUUAACAUGGCUCUUAUGAGCAUUAGCAUGUGGACCUGCAGAGCCAUUAUAGAAAUUUCAGACCAGGAACUACAAUUUGGGUUGAACUCUUAAGCCUUAGAUCAGGCAGGAUAGAUAUAUGUCUCACUUACACUUAAUGGCAACCCUUGUCCUGUCAUUCUUACUCCUCGCCCUGUAAACAGUACCAUAACCACCUACAAGUUCGGGAAAACAGCAAUUAAUAAAUCGAUUUAAUCCACAACAAAAACAGCAGUCAAGGAUACUAAUCUUCGAUAUCUAAGAGCUAUACAUACCUGAACCUUCUUCUUCUUCUACCAUAUAAGAAUCAAAAUUUGGAAAUUCUUUUUUCUCUGGUUGAUCCUACAAAGCAUUAGACUUAAGAUCAUCAAUAAAAGCAUACUUGCAGUUAUUGACAUUAAUUUUAAUGAAUGCCGCAUACCUUAGAAGAAAUAGAUUUGUAUCGUCUUUUUCUUUCAUUAAUAUGCAUGUCACCACAAUUCUGUUUUGAUUUGUGUACCAUGCUAUUUGUCUUCUGAUCCAAUUUAUGGUGAAGGCUCACUUUGGAAGUGGCAACGGCCUGAUCCUGCUCUAAAUUACAGCCGUAUAGAGAUUGCAGUCUUGAAGAGAUCUUAUCCGUGUGAAUGACCUUAAUUGUUGCAGAGGACUUCAGCAACUGCUUUUGAGGAACAUAGAAUUCCUUGGCUGGACAUGUGUUCUGGGCCUCAUUUCUUGUCAUUAGACUUUUACUAACAUGUUUUGUAACUUCGAAAUCCUCCUUAUUCGAUUUUCUGAUUUCAGUUCCAGGCAGCUUAUCAGAAACAGCAGUGUAUGGCUGAUAUAGACUUUCUGCUUCUCCAUUAGGGUUGUGUGGAUCUACUAACAAUUCUUCCUCCGAAUCUCCCACAACUCUUUCAUCUUCAAGGACCGAACAAUUUGCAACUUUGCAAUUAACACUACCAUUCUCAUCCAGCACUGGUGACGUAAUGGUUUUUUUACUUUUCUCUAGGUAAGAUUUGGCCAAGCUAUCUAUCUCAUAAAGUACUAAAUCUUCUGACACUGUUGGAACAGUUGGCUCUAAAUCAUCUACACAGGCCAUAACUGUUUUAUUAACAUUCCUUUGCAGAGUUAUAUCGGUCUCCAUUUGAUCUUCUACAUUCCCAAUGUUCUUCACUCCACAACUAGAUGGCCCAGCACUAUCUUCAAUAAAUAAUGGAGAACUGAAGAUCGAUUUAUCCAACCCCACAGCCACAUUACUUGGUAGCAUACUUAUUCUUCUGCUGAGAUAGUCAGUCAUAUGAAAAUGUAUCUGCGAAAAAAUGACCUGAUUUAAAAGGUGUCCAGAAAAGCAACUUUGCUUGGUUUUACUUUAAGCAUGCAACAAAUCAAAACUCUUUUAACAUGAAUAGAGAAGCCGAAAACCUCAAAAUUAAGUGUGCUUCAAACUAAAGGAAAAGGACAGAUGCACAGACACAGCGGUUUAACCAGAUAAUGCAACUAAACUUGCCACGUUUAUGUAACUUAGAAUAUCAAUCACUCCGAUUAACUACUUUUCGUCAAACUCAGGCCACGACUCUUCGAAUGACAAAACACGGGAAAAGAAAGCUGUUCAUAUUGCCAUGACUAGCUGGACUAAUGAGGAACAUUAAAUUUAUAUUAUAGCAAAAAUCAAAUAAUCUAAGCAAAUUCUAACAGCUGUAAAAGUCAUUACCAUGUUUUCCUAACCAGAUAAAUAGGAUCUCAAAACUAAUGCCCAAUUUCCACUAAUUUUUUCAACAUUUCUGGACUAACAAAACAAAAUCAGGCAGAUCAUAUAAAUAUUCACAACUACAGAUGCUAAACCACUCGAUCAUACCUUCGGAGGAAUACAUAUGACUGAUUUCCGCGCUCCAUUAUCGUCAUUUACUGCAAUCAAUCCCACAAUUACCAAUUAAACUCAAGUAAAUCGGACAAAAUUAAUUAAUCAAAGUAAAAAAGAGAAAGCAACAAUUUACCGUUUUCAAAAUCCACAAUCAAUCUCCGUUUAGCCGAGGUCACAAAUCCGCAAUCCAAAACGAGGCGUUUUCUCUUCCCUAAGUUCGUUCUCAGUGCGCCGUCGCCGCAGGAACUAGAGACGGACUCCGCCAGAGCGGUUACGGCGAACAGAGACGGCGUGACGUGGAGAUCUUCGGACAAGGAGAUUGGCGAAUUAGCGACGGAGCAAAGGCGUUGGACCAAAUGAGCGGUUGCGGGGAACGCCGUGCAUCGAGCGGCGAGCUCGAAGGGGCGGGUCCGGCGGCCGAGAGAUAAGAGGAGGGCGAGGAGGUGCCAGGCCUUGUCGGAGUCGGAGAUGGUUGAGGCGGUGAGGGCUGAGUCGAGUGGGGUAGUUGCCAUGGCUGAGAUUUGGAUCGCAGAGAGAGAGAGGUGGAAUUGGGGGGGGGGAAAGAGAGGCGGGCAAUGUGUGGGACACGUGUAGGGUUUGAGAUUGAGAGCGUCACGAGUUCCCGCCAUUAUUUUUUUUCUAAUUUUGAAUUUUAAAAUGUUGUGAUGGACCGAAGGUGCUAACGUUUUGAACCACCAUCGAAAAAAUAUAUACAUAUAAAAGCAGUUUUUUUUUCUUUCUUUUUUACAGUCUGGAAUCUGAUUUUUUUUUUUGAACAAAUUCUGGAUUCUGAUUAAAAUGUAGUUUCUAUUCAUAAUCUAAAAAAAUUUGUAAAUUGCUUGUUAUGCUUAUGUGCAUCUUUUUCAUGACGGUAACAAAACACAGAAAAGACCUAGCGACAAUAUCAGGGCAUAUAUACUUCACCAAUUUUUGAUUUGUUAAACAAAAACAUUAGUUUUCUUUUAUGAAAGUAUGGCAUGAAAUCUUUGCACUAUCACGUGAAAUGAAAUAAAAAUUAACAAGCUGUGUUAUAAAUUAGUGAUUUUCGUUCUAAAUGGAAAACUAAGACGCAGAGUUACGUAUAAGGGGUAUAUGAUUGUUUCAGAAGUUAAAUUCAUAAUGUGCGUAGUAUUGACAAGGUAUACAUGUUCAGGAUUUAAAAGCAUUCAACCUUGGCCUUAUAUUGGCAUGUUUAAUAUAUAUUGAUGAUAUAUACAUGGAUUGAUUACUGCUCAAUAUUAGUUACGUUCAUGCAUUUUACACGAUUAGCUAAGAAACAAAAAAAAUAUGUUACGAGCAUCAUAUAAUAUCAUACCAAUUGUAUGAUUAUUUACCAUAUGUUCAACAAAAAUGGUGUGCUUUUGAUAUAUUUAGAUGUCAGAGAAAUCUAUAGCCAUAGAUGAUAUAUACACAUUUUGAGAUAUUGAUGGUAACUAAUAAAUUUAAGACUUUUUUUUUUUAGGUAAAAGGCUGGUGCGGCUGCCCUCAAACCUUGAUUAAUGAAACUGUCGAAUACAAAAACGGGGAGGAGGGGGGGGGGUAACAUUGAGCCUAAAUCCCUGAUUACAAACAUCUGAACUAAUAUCAGAAGUUUUUACAAACAUGUACUCAACUAGGCACCGAUUAGCAAAUAGUGCUCUAUUUGCUUUAACAUAAUGGUGACAUAACGAAAAAUUAACUCGACUACAGUGAAACAUAAUUCCCAUAAGCACAGCUUUCCUUCUAUGUUGCCGUCGGAGGAUAAAUCCGAUGACACUUAGCUUCACCCUGCCAUUAGGUGGCAUCGAUCAUUUGACGAAACAAGAAACUUACUGCAUACCUAGGGCAGACAUAUUCCCGCUACUAAGAGGUUGUGACCAUGUGCUAAUGCAUGAGAUUCACAACCAAAUUAGAGUGGACAAGGCACAUAGAAUGUAUGCACCUAUUCCUACCGAAUAACGAUAGGAAUUUAUUAAAACAACUGAAACAACAAAACAACUAACAAGAUAACACAAACACACAGCAGAACUGGCCCAACCACUCAGCCCAAAAUAGGCCCACUUCCAAGCUGUGACUAAGAAGCCCAACAUUGACCCACAGCCCAAAAUGGCUUCCACAUAACCUACACCGUCCAAACCUUCUCGCCUCGCCGACCGUCGAGCCACCGCUGCUCUCUGGCUUGAACUGCUCCACCGCCGACAAACCAUCACUAGAAUAGCAUCCUGAUCCCCACCUCCCAAACCUUGACAGUCCGACUGCAAACCUUAGCAAAUUCAUCUUCCGACUCGCUUCCAAUCUUCAUCGGAUCUUUGGCGGAUCACGCUCGGAAGCACCAAUGGAAUCACAAUCCGGAUCAGAUGUGAGGAUCUCGUGCCACACAAUCGGCCGCCACCACUCUUUGCAAGAUCUAUCCAUGUGCAGUCACCGCCUUCGACUGAAGGCGCUAUAGAAUGGGCUAACUCAGCCCCUAGCCACCGAUCACCAAGCGAAAACUUCGCCAGCAUCCCGUCUAGCCAUAGUCGACUCACGUCGGCGAGGCUAGUGCCAACGCAGGCAUGGCAACGAGGCCGGACGAGAGGACUUUUCCUCUUAGGCCAUGUUUGUUUCAUGGAAUCAAACUAGUGGGAAAGAAAAGUCUUUAUUUUCUUGUGUUUGGAAACCUAAGGAAAAUAGGGGGAAAGGAAAUUGGUUCCCAAUUGUAAGGAAAAUAGAUGGGAAAGUUGUUCCCUCCACCCAACCCAAUGAAUCACUUUCCCUCUCAAUUUCUUGCAAUUAUUACACCAUUUUUUUAUUAAAUUGACCCCACUAAGUUAGUGUUUACCAUUUUUAACCACAUGUUUUUUUUUUUUUUGAAAAUUAUAGGAUUUUAUUUCCUUUCCUUAUGAGUACCAAACACUUGAAAAGAAAAUAAAUAGGAAUUAUAAUUUCCCAUGGUAAUGGAAAAUGCAAAGAAUUUGGUUCAUUUCCCUUCCUUUCUAUGAAUCAAACGAGACCUUACGGUUUUCUUCUCCUCUCUCGCUCUUUUGCGAUUUUUUUGGAUGAAGUUUUAAAAUUUAAGACUUUUAGUUUGUAUAAUUUUUUUAAUUACAUGCAACGAGGAUUGUUGCUUACGAGUCGCUUCAGGGGACUCCUACAAAGACGAAUCACAUGGUAAAAGCUCAAUUGUUUAUAUAGACCAGGAAGCAAACAUGAGCUCUGACCAAAGACUAUAGGCAAACAAUAUUGGAAAGAAUCUUGUAAUCCGUUAUUAAUUAAGAACAGACGGACUUUACAUGAUUGAGAGGUACAAACAUGGUCAUAGUUAGGAUUAGAUAUUAGCCUAAGCUCAUCAUAUUAGAUUGGGCUAAUAUACUAGAGCUAGGUGGCGUUUAGGCUACUAAAUAAAUUACAUUAGACAAAUUACAGAGAGUUUCCUGGGCUACAGCCCUGCUAGAUCCCUACCAUCCUCUGUGAAAGACUACAGUGAGGAGAAAGAUUACGUUUGUGUUCACAUGAGAAACACAAUACAUGUAUGAGCAUAAGACACAAUCACCAUUUGCAACGUUAUAAAUAAACGAUGAAAUGUUAAUUAGCAAGUAUCUUUUAUAUCCCAUAUGAAUGUAGUUUGUUUCAGAAUCCAUAAGGACUUGAAUAAGACCUUUUUGGUGUGGAUAGAUGUAAGAUGUUGCAUGUGGAUCAGAGACUAAUUUGAGGCCAUUGUAUAUACUAUAUAGAUGUGUCUGCCUCCUUCCCCACCAAUAUUCCACUCACCAGACCCUCAGCUAGCUAGCAAUGCCAGGACCCUGAUAAGCUUUUAAGACGCUCUUAAAACACUUGAUAGUAGUUGUCUCAGGUCUGAAUAUACUACUGCCUUGUCCAUUAAGUAUAACAGAGCAAAUGAUGGUAUAGCACCACCUCUAAUACUUCUCAUGAACUAAUUAGAAACCAUAAAACUAUUGAGCUUGAAGAGAACUGACCUGCAGUACCACCUAGACGGAUCAAGAGAGCAAAUGUAUAUUCUCAGUUCUCAAACAAUAGUCAUAGAUAAUUUCGAAGACAAAGUUCUACUUGGAGAGGACAACUGAACAAAAGACACAAAAUCUAAGCAUUACUUAUCAGUAUACAUAUAUUACAGACAAUGAACACCAAAAUAGGUGCUAAAAACUACUUCAAAGAGCCGAUACAAAUUUGACGUAUGAUGAUGCUUGGUUUUCUUUUGUAAUACGGCCAAAAUGUAGACUUUUGCUCGAGAGUACAAGGUACCACCUACAUGUUGAGAUUGGACGUCUCACUAUAGUGAACUCUAUUUGUUAUCUCCAGUAAAUGAAGAAGCUUCUUCAGACCUUAGUAUCAUCGUUGAUCACUUAAAAGUGGUUGGUACACAGGAGCUACAGGAAUAGAAAGUAAAGAACAGAGGAAAUUACCAGUGUGUUCAACCAAUAUAAACGUUAUUUUGUCAAAAGGUGAAAGAAAAGUGGUCUAUGAAGAAGUAAUAAACUAAUAAUACUCGCUUCUUAGAGUCAAAAUCGGAACUGAACCACAUAACACAUCAAAAACAACACACAUGUCAAAAUCUCCAGAUAGGUAGGCUUUUAGAAGCAUUCUUGACAUCUUUUAUAAAACCUACUUAACUACAGCAACAACUUAAAUUCACUAAACCCACCCAAAGUCCAUCAAAAUCAGUAAAGGCACAAUAAAAUAAAAUAAAUCAUGAUUCAUAAACUUUGAACAGGCAUGACAGAAUACCUAGAAACUUUAUCAGAAGGUUCAUGUAUGUUAGAUGGAAGUAUGGAACUAUAAAAGUUAAAUGAUGUAAUCCAUACAUGAAUCAUGUGCUGAGCACUAACACAAAUUGGUUGAGCCAAGUGCUUAAAACCAUAUUGGUUGCUCCACCUAGUAAUAUGAGAUUUUGGAUUUGAUAUUUCAACAUCUGCUGAAGCAUGCACUUCAUUUGCAUUGCAACAGUUUGGCCAUAAUGUGCAAAUUAUUAGCUUAAAAAGGAUCACACAUAAGGAUCUUGGUCACCUAAAUAAGGCAGUGGUAUCAUUAGUAUGAGUGUAUGACCACCUAACCGGGAAUACUUGAGACUAGUUCACAUUGAUUGACUAAGCAACUAAGGGAUCAUCCAGUCAUUUGACAUAAUUAUUUCUUACAAGAUAGAUUGGCCGAAGAAAGGAGAAUGAGUUUGUUUAUGCACAUAUAUCCGUUCCAAGAACAUAUAAAUGAACAUAUAAGAAAAAUUACCUCCAAAAUUGUGUCGCCCACUGGAUACAGGCGGUUUGCAAGUCUUCUCUGAAAUUUCAGAGAUAACCAAACGUGAUAGCAGAAGCCCCGCUAUAAGAGCACAAACCAUUAGCAUCACAAAUACUGCAUCCCAUCCUAUUGUUGAAAGGAAACCAGUAAGAAGAGGACCGAAAGCAGCACCAACUGAUCCAGUACCAUCAAUGAUGGCAGUAACUGUUGCCAGUGCUCUAGAGUCACCUCUAAGCGAACUGUGUGUGCCAAGGUCUGCAGAAACUGCAGUAGUGAUAAGUGCAUAGGGCCCAUUAAUAAACAAUCCAGCAACCAUCAUAAGCAAAAUGUUGAUAUUGUGUGAAAUACUCCCAUAUCUGCGAUACAAAAGCAUUGCUGGAAUUGCAGUAUACAUGAAGCAGGCUGCUGUAGUAGCUCGAGCAUUAAGUUUAUCGGAUAUGUAGCCUGCAAGGAUUCCACCAACUAUGCCCCCAACAUCAAACAAAGUAGAGAGAUUACCAGCAGAUUUCACAUAAACAUACUCUCCUCCAAUUUCUGCACACAAUAAGGGGAACAAGGUAGGACCUUAUAUCAGAUACAGUAGUUAAAUAAUGCCUACAAAUUUCAAGUAUGGAGAAGUCCUUUAGGCUUUCAUGGGUGUUUCCAUAAAUUUGCUAUUGAAAUUUAUAGUGAAUAUUUUCCUAUAGCAGCAAGGCCUCUAAAGAACAACAAAACUAAGGACAGUGAAAUACAUAGUUUUUAAUCCAACCACAAAAGUACAAACAAAUUCAUGCAUAUACCGAUAAGGGAUCAUCAGAGUGAUAUUUAACUUUGAAGCCUCAUUUACAUAGCCCCUAUUGGUGUUGUUACUCAAACAUGGUUGCCAAACUACGGUGUACUAAUAGGUGCCGCGAAACUCAGUGUAAGCUAGAAAUCUUCUGAGGCAGUAGACAAAAGACAUACUAGAUCGCUAAUUGUUUAAAACUAGAUUGUCAUGUAAAAGUUCAUAACAUACUCUUAUCUCUAAUUCAGUAAAGGUUUUAUGAAAGUUUAGCUAUCAAGGUUUUAUGAAAGUUUGGUGAAAUAAUUUAUUUCUCUUGAGAACUUGUUUCCUUAAACAAACACACAUAAAGUAAUCGCAUUGCCCGUAGGACUGAUUACAACAAGACAUAUGGAUUGAACCUACUAAACUAGUCAUUAUCUGAUAUAUACAAUUAUUUUGGGCUUAUAUCUAGAGAAAUGCUAACCAUAGUGGACCAGUCUUCUGCCAACAUUACUCUUGACUACGAAUCAACUACCCUGAAUACUUGCAACUUUCUAAAUCUUCUUAUUCUAAAAUGAAGCAUAGAAGCACAUACGAUAGAAAAGAGAAGACUAUAAUCUAUCUCAGAUACUACACAUCCUAUGAGUUCAAGUUAUAUCAGCAAGUAUAGGGCCAAAAACCAAAUAUGGCAAUCGAGGUAUAUAAAAAACUGUGAGGGAUAGAUUACCUGUCUGACUUAAAUAAAACGGUAGCCAGUACAGAAAUGUGUAGGCUACAAGCUUUGCAAAGAAGAGGCAUAACGCAAAGGGUAUAACUCCUGGUAUGGCACAAGCUUCAAUAAGACCAACACCUGUCCUUGUCACAGACCCAGCUCUUGACAUAUUUGUUUCACUUUCCACCUGAAUUCCUUUUCCCAUAUUUGCUUCUUCAUCAGCAGGAACUGCCUCCAAACUUGAAGCUGAACCGUGUGGACUAGAAAAUCCAAUAUCCUCAGGAUAUGCAGGCAAGAACAAGAAAACUAGUAUUCCUGCCAAUGCAAUAAACGCACCAGGAACUAUAAAACACCAACCCCAACCAUAGUCCAGAACGCCAGCAGCAAGCAGCGAGCCACUAAUAUUCCCAACUGAAGUAUGUGCAUUCCAUAUCCCCAUUAUCAAACCCCUCUUCCCCUUUCCAAACCAAUUCCCAAUCACCGCAACAACAGAAGGCCAACCUGUUGCUUGGAACAACCCUGCAACCAUUUGCAUUCCAAGAUAGAAUCCAAACACAUGAAUGUUCCAAAAGUACCCCAUCCCAAAUAGCGCAACGAAAACACCACUCCCAACCAUCCCGCAUGUCAAGAACAGCCGAAGGUCCAGCGUAUCGCCCAAAUGCCCAGCAACAUACAUUCCUAGAGAGUAACAUGCUAGAAAUGCAACAUCAAUCUCACCUAGCUUCGUCGUCCCGUCCUUGCUAUUAAAAGGAGCCCAGCCCUUGUCUAUCAACCUAUGACGAUGAUGACUCGCAUUCCCCAUAUAAUUUGUCUUAACAAACACCUGGCCAAGCCAGGGGAGGACCAAGCCAUUGUCCUUAUUGGUGGGUUCAGGAUACAAAACACUCUUAACUAUACUACUGGGUUUUCUUGAAGCAUGGUAACUAGCAUAAGCUACAAAUGUAAGAAACAAAACCACAUAUCUAUAUGUAGAAAACCUCCAAUCUUUUCCUCUAACGCUUCUAAUCAACAAAAUCCCAGGUGGGGUUCCUCUCACUGUAUCAAAAUUACUAGCCAUCCUUUCACUUCCUCAAAACACCAAACAAAACCCAAACCCAGAACAACCCUUUCUUUCUAGUCACAAACGUUGCACCAUCCUCAUGUCAUACCAUGCCACAUUCAUCUCCCAAAUCCAAGCAACACCCAGAACGCAAAACCGUGACUUUCAUACGUCAAAGUAAUGAAAAACAGAGAGAAGGAGCCUUACUGGAUUGGACGGCCGGCCAUGGUGGUGAUUGCGAGCCAAAGUUUUACCGGCUUCUAUUGGGGAGAGAGAAAAAAGAAAAGAAAAAGAGAGUGAGGAAAAGCGAAGAAGACGGAGGAGACGUAGAGAGCAAAUGAAGGAAGAGGGAGGACACGUGGCAGAGUGGGAGAGCAUUUGUUGUUUGUAUUUACUGAGACUUUGAGGGCGCCGCGACGAUUGAUUGUGAUAGGGUGAUCGACCGGGGGUUUUAUUGAAUAGAGUGAGAGGACGCGUGGCGGGUUUUGGCGGGUGCUUGGAGAGCAUGAAUCACGCAAGAUUACAAAUAUAUAGGAGAUGAUCGAGUUCUUGGGAAAAAGUGAAGAACAUGGUCAUACAUGGUGACAACGGCAUUCAUGGAAUCAUGGUCAUGAGUCAUGUUGAUCAUAUAUAUUUAUAUGUAGGAAGUUUCAUCAAGUAGACCAUGAACCAGAUAAGUUCUAACGACACUAAACCAUAAAAACAUACUGAUUUCAUCAACACAAAUUCAUUUAUAAUUCUAAAACAUAAUGGAGCUUGGCUUGCUCCUACAUUGUCACCUAUCAAUAUUUCUAGUUUCGUGAUUGACAUUUUCUUCAUCAACUUAUCCAUAGCCUCUAAUUCAAAUUAUCAACAUCACUCCAAUACAACUCAACUCAACCGAAUCAGUUUUAGUCUUCUUUGAUCCAUGCCCCUUCCCACAAGAUUCUCCCAUCAACUUCCUCUUAAGAACUAUCUCAAAGAUAGCUAGUAUUGCCUUGUCAUUUCUUUUAAAGUAGCCACCAAUAUGCAUUUUCAAUGUUUUGUGACUGACACCUUAUUCGUGUUCGUUUUUGAAAACUCCCUAGUUGUGUGUUUGAGACUUAGUCAAACAGAACCUCAAUCAAAAUACGCAUUUCAUAUAAAUUUCUGUCCUUUUCACUUAACAAACUUAUAAAACUAGAGAAUUUUGAUAUGUUACGUUAUUUGAGUAUCUUAAAUAAGCGUAGCUCAUGCAAUUUGCUCAACGUAUUGUUGUUAAAUGCGUCAAAACUCCUUUUAUAGCUAUGAUAGCACAACCUUAGCUAGAUCUCGUACACUAAUCUUAGUCAUUUGGCUCCAAAAUAGAUCAAGUUGGCUUAUUUUUCCAUUUACAAUCAUAUACAAAAUUUUAUGUAUUAUUUAGGUGUCUAAAAUGUACGUAAUUGUGAAACCUUGAUGUUUUCUUUUCAAACAAUAUUGAAUCACGUGAAAAUCACGUGACCAUAAGAUAGAAACAGAUAAGAGACCUUUGUCUUCCUCAGAGCUCUGGUAAUCCAUCCACACUCCCAUGACCUCUCCUCUCUAACUCCUUCUCUCUCCCUCCAACUCUUCAUUCCCACAAACCCUAAUUCCCCUAAUCAUGGGCUCCAAGGUCCUUCCUCAGGUACUCUCUCUCUCUCUCCUUCUCUCUGUACAUUGAUUGUGUACGUGUGCCAAUUCUCAGAAUGAAAUGAAUUUGAAUUUUCUGCAGGCUCUGCUAACAAUCCCAAGAAACCCUAACCACUACGCGCCGGUAAAGCUCGGGUUGUCUCGUCGCCCUUCCUUCUGUUCCACUGGCGUUUCGCUCUGCAAGGCUUCUUCGAGCUCAGUCAGGUCCAAAUUCAGCCCCAUUGUCGCCGCAAAGUCCAGACGGGACUUUGCUGUGAGAGCCGAGUCGGAAGGUGAGGUGGGAGCCACCGAGAAUGAAGAAGCUGUUGGUGAACCGGCUUCAGAGGCCGUAGUGGACGCCGAAGCAGGAGCAGCUCUGGAGACUGAGCCUGAGCCUGAAGAGAAGAAGCCGCCGCGGAAGCCUCGUAUCAAGCUCGGCGAUGUCAUGGGGGUAACUUAUUCAAUCAAUCCUUUGCCUUUUUCGUUUUCGUGUAGUUUAGAACGAGGGGUUAUAAAUUGGGAGUGAUAUAUGUUGAUGAUAUAACGUGGGAUAGAAUAGGACAUCAAAUUCGUCCCAUCGCAGGAGAGACAUUAGCUAGUAAUGUAGUAUCUGAUAAUACAGAUUAAAUGUAGUUUCGGGGUAUGCAUUGUCAUCAGUUGUUUUGAGUUGGAAUAUAGACUAUUAAAGUGCUUAGUUCUGAUGGUUGUAAACCUGUAUCUUUGUUUGAUUCUUGAAAAUUUAGAUAAUGUUUGACUCAACUGUUCUGUUUGUGUAGAUACUAAAUAGCCGGGCAAUUGAUGCGGCAGAGAAGGAAAGGCCAGUUCCGGACAUUAGGAGUGGAGAUGUUGUGCAAAUUAAGCUGGUAAUUUGUGUUUAUGAUUUUUUAUUUUUAUUUUCCCUUCAGAUUUUAUACCAUUUCAAAGUGUAUGUUUUGUGAUCCUGUGUAUGUGUAUGGGCUACAGGAAGUUCCGGAAAACAAGCGUAGGCUGUCUAUCUAUAAAGGUAUCGUUAUUUCAAAGCAAAAUGCUGGCAUUCAUACAACAUUUCGCAUUCGGAGGAUUAUUGCUGGUGUAGGGGUUGAGAUUGUUUUCCCUCUGUAAGUUCUAUUUCUGUGUACUUUGUGUUCACUUGAUUUGGUACUUUGUACACAAUUCCCUUUAUUCUAAUGUCAUCAUGCUGAAAAACAUAACACAGAGAAACUUUGUCUGGGAUAGUAACAGUUACUGAUGGCUGUUAUGGUUUUCUUAAUUUGUGUAGAAUAUAUAGUUUAGUUCCAUUCUCCACUUGGAUGUAUUGUUAUGAUCUUUUGCAUUGAUGUGAGUAACAUAAGUUUUUAGGAGCAAGUGUAAUCUACUAGGUUGUUAUACUUAUGUAUGCCACUAACAUGCUUGGAUUCUCCUUGCCCUUACCUGCUCACGUAGAGACUCUCCUAGAGUAUUAAUUAGUGACGACAAUAAAAUGUUUGUUACGUAGCUUAUAUUUUCUGUGAGGAGAGGGGAGAUGUCUUAUGUUUCGAUACUUGUUACUGCAGAUACUCACCAAACAUCAAGGAGUUGAAAGUACUUAGUCACAGGAAGGUCAGAAGGGCAAGGCUAUACUAUUUGAGAGACAAACUUCCUAGGUUUUCGACUUUCAAGUGAGAGAGAGCAAUUGCAGCCGUUCUUCGGUUGUUUUUGUGUUGCAGUAGUCCCCUAAAUCAUGUACGCUGUAAGAACUAUAUCUUCCAAUCCAUUUGAUGUGAUGUGUAUCACUUGUCUCCAGUAGUUUUGUUGUAUGUAUCAGUUCUUUCCUUUUUCUAUUGUUCUAUAAACUCUACUAUUAGAAAGGAAGAAGUUUUUCCUCCAACUAUGAUAUCAAACUUCCAACACUGCAUGUAACUUAUGUUUUCUUUACUGGCCACCCAACUGAAAUGUGGGGAUAAAAUCCUGUCUCUGUGUGGAUGGAGGUCUUGUCUCAAAUCAUUUGUUAGUGCCACCAUGUCGAGUUCGUAAGCAUCAUUUUGAAAAAAAGUUGUUUCAUUCUUUCCGUUUAAUCAUCAGAUGCAGUAUGCCUUGACUUUUUAAGGUUGUCAUGAUGCAAGCACCAGUUGUUCCCACCACCAUGUAUAUAUGCUGUAUUGAACUCUACCUGACGCAUUUUGCUAUUGCUUCAAUGAUUCUUCUUGUCUCAGGGUGUUGUUUAUUUGAUAUUGGUUUGCUCAAAGCAUGUAGUUGAGUGGCUUUUAAUAGUGUGAACUGAAUUGCCUGAAAAACUAGCAUUUGCUUCUCUUAGUGUCGUAUUGAUUUAAAUCAGGUAUACUUUUAGACACAAUUGUGUGGGUGCUUCCUCUACGUUUAGACUUUAGAUUACACUUGCAUCUCUUGUCAUGAUUAAUUUCAAAGUAAUCAUUAGUGCUUGAGAUUGAUUGCAAUUUUAGUACUGGAUUCUGUUCAAGCUUUUUGGUAUCAAUCAAUUGUAACAUUAUUGUUAACUGCUUGACUCACCUUUGCUGGAAAGAACCAUCACAUCCCUCAAAACCAGACCGGCUCUGUUCCAUAUCCUUUUCCUUUGUCUUAUGUUUUCAUUUUUAUUAAUUAAUUAAUUUAUUAUUCUGAUAGAUAAUAUGAGGAAUGUCAGGAGAGGAUCAAAGGAAAAAUAUACGGAACAAGUUCUUAUUCCCAGAUUUAUGGAGGAAAAAGCUAUUCAUGGCCCCCUUUGUUUACUUUGCAAGUUCCGUCUUCAAAAAUUUCCAGUUUAGUCUUGAAGUUGAAAAUAAAUUAAGUGAAAUUCGUCUGUAUGGUACGUCAACUUUCAAUCCUUAUAAACUUUGGUAUACCAACUUUCUUAAACAUCAGAAUGGUAUGUCAUGUUUUGCCCCGACUGAAGAUUGGUACUUUUGACCGUCAGCUCCGUUACAGCAGGUGCUAGCUGCCAAUUUUUCAUGGGUAUUUUGGUCUCUCCAAUCAUCUCGCCAAUUCCCUAAUAUUUUCCCACCAAUUUUAGAAUGCAGUAAAAUUUUUACCGCCAAUUUUAGAUUCAUGUGUUUUUGACCAAAUUUAAACUCACUUUUGUACCUAUUAUUUUUGGCUGGGACAAGUCCUUUAACACAAGAGAUCUCUUAAUGUAAACAUAACUUGGAAAAUAAAAUGUACAGAAUCUAAAAUCAACAUCCCUUAAAAUACAAUAACUAAUCGUCAUUAAAAUCAACAUCCCUUAAAUAUAUAAUAAUAGUCAUAGCAAAAAAGGUCUAUAAAAUCAACAACAAAAAGCAUUGUCUAGCAGCAAUAGCCAUAAUAGCAAAAACUACAUCUAAGGUUUUCCUCUUCCACAACAACCUACUCAGAUUCUUCAAGGUUUGGGUUUUCUGUGAGCGAUCGAUUUGUUCCUCCUCUGUUUGAAUUGGAGAAUGGAGGAGCUUUGUGGAGUUGUUGUGCUUUGGGAAUGUUGUGUAGGCACAUGAGGAGGUUCUGAUUCUUCCACAUUUUGUGAAACUUGUUGUUGCUGCAUUUGCACAUUGUCCACAUUUUGAGCAGCCUCUUGCUGGGCAUUCUCCUCAUUUUGAGCAACCUCUUGUUGUGCGGCUUGCGCUGCCUAAAAACCAAAUACCAUACAAUAAUCUCAGCACCACAUUUAACACAAGUUAUAAGCUAUUUAUACAAUCACUCAUAACUAUCUCUUUACACCAUAUUUAUAAGAAUUUAUAAUAUCAUCACCAUUCAUAACAACAAAUUUAACACAAGAUAAAGAAAAAUAAGGCCUAAAAACCAUACUUGUUGCCUUCUUAAGCAGGUCCUACUGUUGUGGCCUUCCUUCCCAUAUUUUCCACAACUAAUUUGUGUGUAAUAUGCCUUAGACAACUUAUCUGCACCAGGUGGUGGGGCUGCUUCACCUUUUUAACCAGUCACAGAGAAAUAUAUUCCUUAUAUAUAUGAACAUAAACAACAAGAAAUUAAAAAAAAAAAUACNNNNNNNNNNNNNNNNNNNNNNNNNNNNNNNNNNNNNNNNNNNNNNNNNNNNNNNNNNNNNNNNNNNNNNNNNNNNNNNNNNNNNNNNNNNNNNNNNNNNNNNNNNNNNNNNNNNNNNNNNNNNNNNNNNNNNNNNNNNNNNNNNNNNNNNNNNNNNNNNNNNNNNNNNNNNNNNNNNNNNNNNNNNNNNNNNNNNNNNNNNNNNNNNNNNNNNNNNNNNNNNNNNNNNNNNNNNNNNNNNNNNNNNNNNNNNNNNNNNNNNNNNNNNNNNNNNNNNNNNNNNNNNNNNNNNNNNNNNNNNNNNNNNNNNNNNNNNNNNNNNNNNNNNNNNNNNNNNNNNNNNNNNNNNNNNNNNNNNNNNNNNNNNNNNNNNNNNNNNNNNNNNNNNNNNNNNNNNNNNNNNNNNNNNNNNNNNNNNNNNNNNNNNNNNNNNNNNNNNNNNNNNNNNNNNNNNNNNNNNNNNNNNNNNNNNNNNNNNNNNNNNNNNNNNNNNNNNNNNNNNNNNNNNNNNNNNNNNNNNNNNNNNNNNNNNNNNNNNNNNNNNNNNNNNNNNNNNNNNNNNNNNNNNNNNNNNNNNNNNNNNNNNNNNNNNNNNNNNNNNNNNNNNNNNNNNNNNNNNNNNNNNNNNNNNNNNNUCUUAUCAACAUGUCCAUCUCUUAUUAAAGCUUCAUCAUUUCGGCCAUCGUCAUCCACUAAAUCAUCAUUCCCAAACCCAAAAACAUCAUUCAGGUUCUCAUCAACAUCAUCUUCUUCAUGAUUAGGUUCUCCUUCUUCCACAUCAUCAAUCCACCAACCAAGCAAACUAGUAUGAUCUAAGUCUUCAUUAUAUACAUUAAGUUCUUCUUCACAGAACACCUUCCUUUCACUAGUACACACUAUGUACAUGUCUAAAAGCUUAGUCCUAGGGGAGACAUGAUCACACAUCUCUAUUGCCUCUAUGUCAUCUCCUAGGGGCAAAUAUCCUGAUCCCUCUUCACUCCCAGGAAUCCUAAACCAAAAUUGAAUUGGAGGUGAUUGGUACCCCAAAUCAUUUGCCCAGUAGUGGAUUUGAGUCAUAGAAACCUUAUCCCGGUCAACUCCAUCAACAAAACAUACCUCCCCUCCUCUAUAAUGCCUAUUUAAUCCCCUAUUAGAGUGAAAUCUUCCUCCAUGGUGAACCCUCACAGUAAAAACAGUCGGAUCUGCAAGUGAAAAAGGGAAAAAAAAUUGUCACUUUUUUUUCCCUUUAUUUGUUACACAUUAAGCACACACAAAACACAAUCAAUUCGUCCAAAGCAUGCAUAUGAUGAAGUUAUGACGGUCACCAACCAAGCCCCAAACACAACCCUCUUUAUUCAUGUUGAAAACCCCCAAUCUGGGGGAAUUAAGAGACCCUCACCCACCCACCCACCCUUAUGCCCUGAUCCUUUCUCGAUCAAAUCCCCAACCACUUCAUUCCCGACAUCACAGAGACAACCCUAAAGAAUAAUGGCACAUCAAGACAAAAACUUCUACAAAAACAAACACAGUAAACAUACCAAACCCUAGACACGCCCAUGAAAUAUGAAAACAUAGACGAUUGAUGGCCAUAAACAAUACUAAGUAUUGCGAUUCAUUCGAGUAAAUGGAUUAAAAUUUGAGAGAGGGACCAUUAAUUUUACCUGAGUAUGUUGGUGGCUCCCCAGAGAGACGAAAGUAUCUCCAAACUUUGGACAUCGCAAAAUCUUUGCUUGUAUGAUCGAUGGAGAGAGGUUGAUCGAGAGAAAGAGAGACGAGAGAGAGUGACAACGAAAGAGACGAGAGAGAGCGGACAGUGAAAGAGAAAGAGACCAGAUGGAGAGAGGAGAGGCUGAGAGAGAGUUUAAUUUUUAGGAGAAAAUAAUUAGGUUUAAUCGGUCGCACGUAAAUUUACCAUAGUACCCCCCAUUUUUGAAUUUUGAAUCGCGUUGUAACGGAGCUGACGAUCAAAAGCACCGAUCUUUGGUCGGGGGAGAAACUUGACAUACCAUUCUGAUGUUUAAGAAAGUUGGUAUACCAAAACUUAUAAAGACUUAAAGUUGACAUACCGUAUGAACGAAUUUCCCAUAAAUUAAUUAGGAGCUUUAUGUUGUCAACAACGAAGUGCAUUCUAUAGGUUGAAAAGAUGACCCCAUUUUAUUGAUAGAUUUCCAUGACUACAUUCAAACAUUAUUUGCCCAACUUUAGGGGUGUUGGUGCUGGGAUUGGACGAAGUUGUUGUCCUGCUAGACAAUAUGGCCUUGUUCCUUGAAGGAUAGGGACAGAAGGAGAUUAAGGUUGAUUUGUGUAUAAAAGUACUUGAAAGUGUAGCCUGCACAAACUUAGUUUCAUUUCAUCGGAAGAUUUGAAGCAGAUGAAGGUCGACGAGAGACAGUAUUUUAGUACCAGCGUAUGGCAAUGGGGUUUCUCUGUCUAGCUUCAGACUUUCAUCUAUGAGACUUGAGCACAUAGAGACCUUCAUUCAGAUUGCUUCACGAAUAUUGGAUCAUAUCCUAGAAAACAGAAUCCGAGUUAUUGUCGAUCAGAUUUGAGAUGGUUGAUCGUGAAUCGAUCGUUCCCUUGCUGCCUAUUAUUGUGUCCGGCUAGGACGUGACUUUGAGUUUGUACUGUUCUAGGCCUCUAAUUAUUCAUCCCGAUGAAUUCAGAUAAGUACCAGAAAGUCCCUGGUAUAAUCGGAAGAAGGUAGGUAUACAUCCAGAGAGUAUACCUAAGGUACUCGCAACUCUCACCGGCCACUUACAUCUCCUUUCUUUGCUCUACAUGGAUAUACGGAAGAGGCAAAGAUAUCAGAGUUAAACAAGGCCAUAAUAUGUUUGCAUACCAAUCUCUCUUUCCCCAAAGAGACGGAAUAUGAACGAAGUGAAUUGUAGUGCUAGCUAGAGAUGUGAUUGCAACAGACCAACAGAGUAUUGAUUCUGAAUUUGUCAAUAGCUAACCUUCGUGAUCAAUCCAAUAAUAGCAUCUAUAUUGACCACUUAACUUGGGUUGCAAGACAUCACUACAUUAGCUCCCUCAUAACCAAAUCCAAGUACACUGCUUCAAUGGCAACUGCACCACAUACACUCUUCGACUCUUCGUGCACACCCAAGAGAUCAUGAAGUCCUUUAGAAUGCGCUACAAGUUCUCGACUCAAUGAAAUGUUUCUCUAGUCUUACGCUCAUAUUAUGAAUUCUAUAGACCUUUAGUCGAAGAGCCUUCAUUGCACGGUCUGUUGUAGAUUACAUGAUACUAAUAUUACACUCAAGUACACCACCGUAAAUACAAUAUAUUUUGUUAUUAUUGAUUAAUUGACACAUACACCGCCGAUACUAAUUGGUGUUGUAUGUGAUUGUGAUACGGUCAAAUAAAAUACAAAUAAACUUCCAGGUGAAAAGGCAGAGAGAGACACGUCAGAGGAUCGCAGUUCCAUUCUGGGGUAGUAGAGUACGGUACGCACUUAAACGCUUAAAAAAGCUGUCCUUGUAAUUCUCCCUCACUUUUGAAGCGGGCUUCCUCAUUCCCCUGCAUCCGACACGUGUCCUCUGCUCCUCUCCGCCAUUCCAUAAUUCACUCGGCGCUCGGACCGUAGGCCGAUCUUGGAGGCUCCCUCCCAGUCGUAGAAAUUGGACCGAGCAAUCCGUACUCCUCCACCUACGCUCCUGCCUCCAUCUGUUAGUCCCCAAUUCAAUUUCACUCUCUCUCCCUUCACCAUUCAAUUUCCCACCUUGUUUCUCUCUCUGAAUUACAUGAUGAUGAUGUUAGGGUUUGUUGUCCUAAUGUGAAUACCAGGGUUUUGAUAUUGGUUGCUGAAUCACAACUCGAACAAAUAUAUACAAGUCAUUGUUGGAAUUGGUGGUUGCGCAUCAUGAGUGCCGGCGGCGGUAAUCAGUUGAUCUCUGUUCUUCCCGAGGAGCUCCGAUUUCAAUGUAAUCUCUCUCUCCCUAUGCAGUUCUUGAUGAUGAUCAUCGAAAUGCAUGAACAGCGGAAAUUAGGCAUUGUGUUGAUCAUGUUUGUUUUUCUUGUUCGGUUAUUUGAAGUUUGAUCAUUGAGGGCCAAGCAAAGUUUCUGGUUUAUAUUAGUGUAGGUAUGAUUGAGCCGUUGAAAUUAGUGUCGUAAAUUGUAUGAUAGCAUAUGAAGCAAAUCAUAGUCGGAAAUGUUUCUAGGAGUCGAAUUUAAGGAUGUUUUAUUUAGCUGAUUUAGUACGGUUGCGUGCCUGACCCCACAUUCUUGUUUACUGCUAUUGUGCUUCUGUUGUAAUCUUGUUUAGUUCCUCAUGGCCUGUGGAUUUGUAUCCAUUGCUUUCUUGAGCCCUGUCUUUUUUUUUUUUUUUUUUUUUUUUUUUUUUUUUUUUUUUUUUGCCGUAAUUAGCAUCUGUGGUUCUUUGAGCUAAAUGGUAAUUGGCUACUACUGGGGGAUAUAUAGCUUUAUUCCGUCCCCAUUGGCUACAUUCUAGGUUCUGGUAGGAAUCUUCGCAUGUGAAGCUCUAGUCUGAGUUAAGAGAACUGGUAUAUCAGUAGUAGUCCUGGCUAAGUUCAAUAGAAUAUAAGAAUAACCGGGCAAGGGAAUUAUAUACAAUAAGCUGGUACAGAGUCGACUAGAAUUCUAGAAAUCAUACGAACUAUUGCCAACACUUGUUCGGCUGGUCUUUGAAAUUGUUCAAAUUGAAUAAAAUUCUUGGAAGUGAAUGCAAAUAAGCACAUACCACACUGUAACCUGAUAUCCUUAUAGAGUUAUAGUGCCACCCUCCAGGAAGGUUUUCAAACUCUUGGUUAUGUACUUCUUCUUGGAUAGUUUAGUAUUGUGUAAUACAGUUUUAAUGGACUAUUGGUCUUGACAUUUUCUAAUCAGUUGAGCUGGAAAAACAAAGCUUUUGUGACCUAAAAGUCAGCAACAAUACAGAAAACCAUGUUGCUUUCAAGGUACGAGUUCGUGAAUGAUACUCGGUUUUACGCAUUAAGAGUAUUGUUUUCUUCAACAUGUUUUUAAUAGUUUCCACUUUUUUCUCCAUAGGUUAAAACCACUUCCCCUAAGAAGUACUUUGUACGGCCCAACACUGGCAUUAUACAAGCUUGGGACUCAUGUGUCAUCAGAGGUGCGCUACUUGUUACUGUUUUAUGGUUUUCAUUUUUUUCUUUUUUAUAUUUCUUAGCUUCACAUUGAAAGUAAGGAUUUUAGCUGUGAAGGUAUCCUAGGAAUACACUGCAAAACAGAUUGUCUCUCCCACUGCUUUACCUAACAAGAUAUAGAGGUAUCUUAGGAAUACUCUGCAAAUUAGAUACCUUACAAACCAAGUCGAGUACUAAAUUUGUAAGAUCUGAUACCUUACAAAUCAGAUCUUAGCGAUACUGCCCAAUAAUCAUCUCCAUUGUUUGAGCUGUAACUGUAAUGAGUGCGGUAGAAAUGUCUCACAUAUGAUUGAAUUUUAAGAACAUAAUGCCAAUGAAUGACAACCUUUUGAUCUAAGAAUUGUACCAGUUGUAAGAGUGUAAUAUUUUCUUAAGCUUUGUUCACAAGCCUGCUAAAUUGUGAAUAUUAUGUUCUAUUUUAUUCUCUUUUAAAGAUUUAUAAUUACUGUCUUCCACUAACUGCUGGGUCUGCAGUCACCCUCCAGGCCCAACGAGAAUAUCCUCCAGACAUGCAGUGUAAAGAUAAAUUUCUCCUACAGAGUACAAUAGUGCCUCCAAAUUCUGAUAUUGAUGAACUUCCACAAGAUACUGUAAGAAGCUUAAGUUCAACACUAAUGUCAUUUUCUUAUUAAGUUGCUUCACCUGAACUAGUAAUGACAUUGUUCACUCUUUAAUGUUUCAUCCAGUUCACCAAGGAAAGUGGAAGGACAGUAGAGGAGUGCAAGCUUAGAGUUGUGUAUUUAACUCCUGGUUCAGGUCAAGGAAAUGAAGAUGGAGCUUCUAUGCGUGGUCUUGAUACCAAUUCUGUGAGUUUUUUUGAAGUACAUAAUUUUGGAAUAAAUUUUUGUCUUGCUAUAACGUGCAUGUACAAUUUUUUAUUCUCGUUUUUUGAGGCCAAUUCUUCACCGACUACUUCACAUAUUUAGUCCAAGAAUGUGUGCAUUAGAUUUCCUGCCAUGCAAUCGUUAGAUGAUUUGUCACUAGAAACCUGAACUCUAGAUUUCGUGUGAUUACUAGUGUGUGAAUUAAGUUAGGGCGGUAUUCAAAAUGAUAUUUAGUAGCAAAGGGAUGAUGUGAAGAGGCUCUAGUUGCUACCACAACUGCGAGUGUGGUUAUAUUGUUCUAGCUUACUUUCUUUUGAUCCCAUGGUUCUUCCUGAAAUCUUGUAAGGUUAAUAUAUAGUAUCUUGUUAAGCAGACCACAUUGGUGUAUAGUAUAAUUGAAGUUUUUUCUUAUUCUUAUUUACUCUUGAAAUUUAUUUAUUUUUACUGCAGAAUCAGACUUUCCAGCGCCUGAAGGAAGAAAGAGAUUCAGCUGUUAGACAAACACAGACACUUCAACAAGAACUGGUCAGUUUCUAAUUAUUUUCCUUGCUCCUCAGUGACAUACAAAAGACUUCAUCAGUAUUUAACCUCUCUUAGACCUUUACCGUUAAUUCUGCAUUUGUUUAAUGUGCACGACAACAAUAGAAGGAGUUAAAAGGAAAUAGCAUAGUUUGUCUGUACUAAUCAUUUUUGCUUCGUUCAUCUUCUCUCAACAUAACAUCAAAUAGUAUUCCUGAAGUUGACAAGAGCUGAAAUAAGUAGUGGUUAUAGUCUCAUGUUUAAUACAUAGAUGUCCUUUGAAAGAACAUAUACAUAAAAAGCAUCAAGGCCAAGUUAAUAUUUACCCGCAGCCCUCCCCACUGAUGGUCUACUCCUGUUCAUUUCAGGACAUACUGAAGAGGCGGAGAUACCGGAAAGGUGACCCAAGCUUUUCCUUCACCUUCGCAAUUUUCGUGGGACUUAUCGGACUCAUGGUUGGUUUCCUCUUGAAUCUGUCACUGUCUUCACCACCCAUAGAAGUUUCACCAUCCACAGAAUCUUCACCACUAAUGGAUCCACCAUUAAUGGAUUGACGUUAUUCAGAACAUCAUCAUAUAUCUUCAUGACAAAAUUCAUUGUAUAAUCCCUCUGGGCAUUCUGGUUGAUGGAAAGUUUGCUUUACUUCAAUUUCUUCUUCUUUUGUAUAUUGAUGAUUGUUGCAAAUUUGCAUCGUGAUAGUUGAUUUAUUAUAAAUAUAUAUGUUUCUAUUUUUGUACUGUUCAUUGUUUUAUGUCGAAUUGUGCCUGUGAUUCCAUCACUGAAUCUAAAUUAUCCGAACACAUACAAAGAAGAUGAUUGUUAUAUUCUCAAAUCUCAAUAGCGACUGACCUUACAUAAAUGAAGAGAAAUUUUUACCGAAGUGUUAAGAUACAGUUGGACCUAAUAUUAUAUAUGAAUAGAAAAAGAUUAAUUGAUUAAACCUAGAUCAAUACUUGGAUAUCGGUUCUCAUGGAGAAGAAUGAAUGUGCUCCAGUAUAUUUCAUAGCUAAAAAGCUAUGAAACCUAGUCAUUUGCCAAAUAAGCUUCAACAUUUGUUUGGCUCUAUAGCUUCUGGUGUGACAUGCUAGCACACAAUUCGAUCUCAUCCUUGACCAUCCUUCUAAUAUAAUCUCCCCUGCUUCUCUCUCCAAGUCAUAUAUUGAUUAUAUUGAAUUGACACAUCAAAAUUAAUCUUCAUAUAAUCUGCAGCAGGAAGAUGCCAUUUGAUAAUAGGAAAGCGUGAAGUUCUUGGUUUAUGAGAAGGAAUAUUGGUAGCUAAAUAAUUAUUAAGAAAAGAAUUAGCAUGAAAGUAACAUUGAUUGCUACUAGUUUGUAUAUUUCUAAAAUUAUGCCAGAUCGACCAAGAGAGCAUCAAAACCAAUUGUAAAUGAGAUUUUUCAUUGUGUGAAAUAAGGACUUUAACCAAGCAAUGAAAGAGUAAUUAAAGGGAGGUCUAUAAGUGGGAGGUGAGAGCAUCCAUACACUUUGCGCAAAGACGCAUUGAGUGAACAGAUGAUCGACUCAUUCCACUGUUUCUAAAUUCCAAGUACCUAUCACAAAACGCACAAAAAGAUGGAACAUGAGAAUGGUAGAGUGAGAGAGUAUGACGAGUCUUUAGUCUAUUUCGAAGUAGUAGGCAUGAAAAGAUUUUAAAUUUGAGAUGUAGAGUUCAUUUCCAAAUUUUAUGUAAAAAAGAAGCAUUAGAAUGAGGAUGCAUGUUGAGAGUUUUGCAGUAGCCAAAACAAAUUGUUCUGGUUUAGGAUAUAAAGGAAGAGGCACUGCAAUUUGAACAAUAUCCACUGGCACAGUCUGUUCUAAAAGGGAUACAUUCCAAGUUCCAUUUACGAUAAAAUGACUAACAAUAACAACCCAGUCAAUGUUACUCUCCUAGCUAGCAUGAUCAGGAAUAAGUUGAUAUAAAGGAAAAGGCAUUAACCAGUUGAAUUUCCAAAAUAAAACCGAAGAACCAUCAACAAUAAUCCAACGCAAUCCUUCUAAAAGUAUAUGUCUUAAAUCUAAAAUUCUUUUCCAAACAUAAGAAUGUGAAGAUUUUUUGGGCAUAGUAAGGUCUCGUUUGAUACUUGUUAGUCACCAAUUGAACCCACCAGUUUGAUGGUUGAGUUAGAAUUUUCCAACCUAACAUGGCAAGCGCAGCUUGGUUGAAAAUAUGUGCAGGUCGAAUCCCUAAACCCCCAAGUUUAGUCGGCGCAGCAGUUUGAGACCAAGAAACAGCCUGACUGGGAAUUACCCUAAAAGAACCUUCUGUUUUUUUUUUUGUCAAUUUGAUCUGUAAAUUUUUGAACAUUUAAAACAUGAUAGGAUAUGAUUUGGCAUUUAACUGACGGAAACUUACCACCCCUAGACAAAGUAUUUGCUUUCCAUUCGGCUAGUUUCUUUUGUAACUGCAUUUAACCAAAAAAAAAAAAAAAAAAGGUUUACUUUUGUAACUGGUUAAGCAAAAGAAUUAGCAUUAAAGAAUCAGCCAAGAGACAUGGUGGGCUGUUGUGUAGGUUACCCUUACCAAGGGUGGACAAAUUCUAGCUCUGUUGUUCAUGGUACGGUUUUCAGCAUUUGUCAUAGAAGUACUGUAGCUAUUACAGGAUGGACUUAGAAUUUGGGAAAUGAUUUAGUAAGAGUUUACGUAAGACACUAAAUUUGAAAUAUAGAAGACGAAACAUAUAUAGGAGGAUAUAGUUAAUUUACAACUUUACAUAUUACAUUUAUACAUAUAUAGAGAGAAUAUAGUUCUUGACAUGAUCAGUACUUUCUUGCACUAGCUAACAUAAUCCAGAUAGCGAAAUAGACAAUACUAACGCUAGAUUGGUCUUUCUAGUGCUGCUAGUUAAUUAGCAAUGCCAGAUCCUGAACACCUUCAUGUAUCUAGCUACCCCAAGAAUGAUAGAGCAGGGCCACAAAUAAAACAUGACAUCCAAUACGUCGGAUGACUUUCACAUAAUCUCAAAGCAGGAAUUCAACCAAAUACUAAUGAAAUUCAAAUGAUAUAUAUGUGUAUUAUUUAUAAUGUCGUAUAUAUCUUCUCUAUUAGCUUCAAGAUCGAGUACAACCAUUUUUUGGUUCCCGAGAACUGAAACCUGUAAGGGUUGGGCAUGGCUCACAGAGUGACCAAUUAUUACAAUUAACCACUUGAAACAGCUUAGUUAACGAUGGCUGACCAACCACUUGGUUUCGGCAAAGAGGACAAACAUGAUUGUUUUUGAGCCAGUUGACAAUGCAGUCUCCAUGGAAACGGUGUGAGCAAGGCAACCGAGCAACUACCCUCAAAGGGGGUGGCUCUUUUCUUGGCGUUUUAGCGAUGGUGCCACUGCUGCUUUGUAGUCCAAGCAGCCUCUUGCUCUUCCUCUUGGGUUGUUGUUUGAGUUUCUUGCCUUUUUUAUCAACUAGGUCCUCCAUACAAAUAACACAAGAGUCUUCAAACCCCAAGAAGCAGCCAUCAACUCUCUCUUUCUCCAUACCCUAAACUGAUGAUAUCGCAUCGUCUAGAAAAGCAUCGCAAGCAGAUGUGAACAAGCACUCCUUCACUUCCACUAUGUCGACAUGAAUGACAGAAGCUGUUGAGGCCACUGCUGGAUCUUCUUUUUCGGCCACCCGGAAUACUUCUUCAAUACAAGAUCGUCGUACAUGAUCGGGGAGUGGCUCCUCCUUAAAUCGGAGUGAAAAGAAGUCGACCAUUCUCCAUGUAUACUCACUCCUGUUGGAUAAUAGCUCGCUUCGAGGAAGAUCAGAGAUGACGAGUUCGUCACCUUUAUGGUGGUAAGGUAUGCCAUCAGACAUGGUUUUACCAGGUUUCAAGGAGACUCCCAUCUUAGUGUAGAUCUUUAUCUUGAUCUCAACCGAGUCCUCGCCUUCCCAUCGAUUGGGGUCGCUUGUGAGCCACACUUCGCUCUCGAAUGAACGUUUCUCAAAAUACAUGAUUGCUUCCACUACCAGAAUAUGGAAACAAUCUGUAGUCGACGAUUGCUAUUAUAUAGGCAUGCUAGCUAGGUAGUCCGAAUUCGACGAGGACUACAAUCCUAAUGGUGCUAGGGUUUAGCUAAAAGGAUUUUUGGAGAUUUCCGAAUGGGAAGAGGAUUCCGCUUUUAUAGCCAGCGUGGACCUAACUCCUAAGCAACCAAGUCUUCCCUAAUACGGAAUCAAAAUAAAAUGCGUCCCAAAGAAAAAAAAAAGAGAAAAAGAAUAAAACAGGAAAUAAAGAAACUAUUUAAAACGGUGUUAUCUAACAAGAACUCUACACAAAAAAAAAAAAUACUUACUUACUCAUCGGAAAAAAACCUGAUAACCCCUUCACCCUUGUGAGUUGUGACUUCGUCUAUUAGAAAAAAUUUCCAAGCUAACAGAUGUUCGGAGUGAAUUUGGAAUUCUUCGAACAAUCAGUUUUUGUGGCGUGCCGGUAUCUAUGAGCUUCAGUGCAACUUGAUCUUCUUCUCGCUCGGGCGCUUCUUAACUUCUUCCUCAAGCAAUAAUUGAGUGCAGGUGUAAUCAAAACCUGCAGCAAGGUUUUUACUCAGACCUAGCAGAAAACCACUAGGAUUUUUCUUUGUCCUCCGCGAAUAGCCAGAUCCUACUUGAGCCGAUAAAGUCAAGCAGAGCUUCAAAUCAGGAUUUUACACCUAACAAUGGGGAUAUUUGUUACAACAAGCUGUAACAAUGGUUUUUUGCGGGAUUGUGCUGACGGAUUGGGCUUAUGAGUGAAACGGGGAGUGCUGACGGAUCAGGCUUUGAAGAUUAAAAAAAAAAUUGAAGAGUCUUUUUGGUAGUGGGUGCUCCGGAGAGCUUGAUAUUUGCGUUGCAAAGUUUGUUUGUAUGAUUGGCCGUCUUUUGCUCAUUCGCCUUGACCCCUUUAUAUAGAGAACUAGAUUCAUAUUUCCUUGCGGAUCAAGACAUAUCGGACCUUUAUCUCAACUAAGAAGGUAUCCCCUAGUCAGAUCAUGGAAUAAUCUCCAAAUAUCUUGCCAUAAUUUACCCACGAGGAAGAAAGCUAUUUACAAAGAUUUUGACCGCAGGUGUCGGUCUAAUGAGCUCGUAAUACUGGGAAAUAUUAAUAUAGACCCAAACAACAGAAUUGGCUUGCCUACGCAUUAGUCGGAUAGCCUGGGCAGUAUGUGAAAGUAGAUGAUCUCUUUUCUUUUCUUUUUUUGGUCUGAAAAGUAGAUGAUCUCGGUUGGGAGCUCUGGAGUAUCAACUUGCAUAUAACUCUUGAUUUUUGGUCUGAUUUUGAUGUUCCAUGACUUCCAUCUGUUAUGUUAAUGAGUGGCAAAUUAUACUGAAUAGGUAGCUCCUGAAGGCCUAAAUUCUCACUUCAACGUAUAUCAGUUCAUGAAGUGGAAUGAAAUAACAAACAUGAUGAAAUAUUCCAAAUCGACAAGUUGCUUGGACUCUUGAAAAAACAUCAACAUGUAAAUAACCCACAUUACAUGGACAACUCAGAAAGUUGAAUGAACGUACUGACAAACAAACGUACAUGAGGCUUUUAUAACUUCGACAAAAUUCCUUAAACCCCUUUGGCUUGGACACAGACAACCUAGCAAGAAGAAAUUCCAGCCUACAAAAAUCUAACCUCACAAAGUUGAUGUACGUACGUGAUUGAUUUCCUGUACUCUUGAAGUAUAUACUGGUUCUUGAAGAUACUUCUUACACUCGUUUCAGAACAGAAAAUGAAGAUACUCCUUACACUGGAUCGAAGUUCCAUUCCUAUUACAAAACCCCUUAUAUCUUUAAUGUUUUUUCUAUAGUCUUUAUGGUCCGUAUUCAUAUGCAUACAUAGAAACAUAUAUUCCUUAAGUUUUGAUCAACUAAAUAAUAUACUAACCUCGUCUGGAUGUCAUUGCUUUGAUCGGUUGACGUCGUCGAUGGAAUACAAGAUCUUCUAGUCUCUCCAGUCUUUUUAUGCUAUAUCUUAAUGGGGCAGAAUGUUUAGCGUAUUGACUGUGAGUCUAGGGACCCUGUAUUUAUAAGGUCGGAUGUCUUAAAGUCCUAACCCAUCGAGGAUACAACAAGACACAUAUUUAUGACCUAGUAAUCUUGACAGUAUAUCUCUAGGAUUACAUUAAUCCUUUAUUUGUCAAGUUUAUUAUUAAUAUAUUAUUUCACAUAGAUAUUUACCGGAUGAUCAUUAUUAUAUUCUCAAUGAUCAUUGACUAAUUUCCAUUUAUUUCCUUAGUAUUAUAUUACAUGAUAUGUCUAAUAUCUUACAUUUUCUACUUAAAUAUCUUUAAUGUUUGUUCUAGACUUCCAGUCUGUUAAAACUGCAAAAACAUACAUGAUAUGACCAUAUAUAUCAUCCUCCGGAUCCUUUCGAACUUAAUUUUUACUUAAAUAAUUUCAGUUUUAAUAUACAAUAUUACUAGGCCGGGGCAUAAAUCUAUAUUCUUAAACAUGAACAUAUAUAGAAUAAUUUAUAUUUUUAAUAUACAAUAAGCUUGGAUUUCGUUUCUCGUGUAGAAGAAUGAAUAUGCUCCAUUAUUACACAGGAGAAACGUUAACCUAGUUAGCCCCUUGCCAAAUAGACUAUUUGACAUUCUACAGAGUGCAGGUCUUAACCAAAUAUAUACAAAUUGCAAAAAUUUGUUUGGCUGUAGUUUCUGGUGUGACAAGUGCAGCACAAUUCGAUCUCAACCUUGAUCUUCCUUCUAAUAUAGUCGCUCCCUCUCUGAAUUAUUGGUAGGCAUGUUCUCCAUCUUUUCUCAUAAUGCAAUAGUGUAGAUCAUUGGUUCUUUCUUGAUCGAUGGCCGAUGGUGGCAUGGUGGGCUAUUGUGUAGGUUAAUUACGUAUUACAGCUUUCAAAACUUGUACAUUUGAGGCAAAGCAAAUUUUCCGUGGAGCUGAAGGUUUUCAUCCAUUCAGCACUAUAACAGAAGAACACAAAAUAACUGCAUCACAACUUUGUACAUUACGCUUGCCUAAAUGAUCGAAAUCAGACAUUACAGCCAGAAAAACUGCUCCUAUACUGCUAUACAACAAGUCUCUACUCUCUCCUCUCUUUUGAAAAAUAAGACAACGUUCUAUAAGAUCGAAAGCACAUAUGUGUAGUGCCCAUUUGUUAUCGGCACAGAUGUGACUGUUUUUAAGCAAGUUGAAAGUGCAGUCUCCAUGAAAUGGUGUGAGCAUGCUGAUCGAGCGACCUCAUAUAUUUAUUAUAGACACGAACGUCUACACUUAAUUGACAUGAUAAGAUUCUUGCACUGCUAGCUAACAUGAUCCAGAUCUGUUCUAGAUUAAUCUAGCUAGCAGCUGUUAGCUUGCUCUAAGAGCAUUUUUAGAUUGACGUAGAAUAAAUGUGCAUCAACGUUCAACAGAGAAAUUCAUACAAAAAAAAAAAACGUUCAACGAGAAUGAACCACUUGAAACAGCUUAGUUAACGAUGGCUGACCAACCACUUGAAAUAGCAUAUGCUAGCUUUAUGUUCUAUAUAUAAAUAACUUGUUCGUUUAUUUAAAAUUCAUUUGCUUGUAGGCAUCUGAUUUAAGCUAGAAAUCGCAAAAGCUGGAUUGUGUUCAUCAGCUUCAGGAUCGAUGUACAUAUCAAUAGCUUUCCACAGGGUAUAUUAACAAUGUCUAUGUAGCACCUCAUUGUUGGAGAUGAGAUGAGCCGUAUAUGAAUAGUGUUUCAAUGAGGACAACACCCUAAAUAACACUUGAUGGUUGGAGUUGCCCUAAUAUUAGGUAUGAAUUACUAUCAGGUUUUACAUAGCUUAAAUUUAUCUCUUGUGAUUUGGUCACACUGUUUGGAAAUAUCAUCAACGGGACCCUAGCUAGUUUUGUAAUUCUUCUUGUUUUUUGUUUUUGUUAUUUUUAAAAACUUAUCCAUAAUUAGUAUAUAUUUUCAACUUGAUAAAUGUUUCUGCAUAUCUAUUGCUUACAACUUGAGAUCCAUAUAUUCAUGAACAAAUAGUAUUAAUUUCAAGCACAACAAAUAGUCUAAAUGAAAAAUCUCUCCUGCAAACAAGCGAAUAAGCAACAGUAAAAUGUAGGAAAAUAAUCAUAUAUAUAUAUAUAUAUAUAUAUAUAUAUUCUCCCCCCUCAUCCCCUUCACUAUAUAUCAAAUUAUCAAUCCCAUCCGCCUGCACACAAGCAACAUAUCCUCCAUGCUGACCAUGCAAUCUUCUACUAUCCUCCUCCAUUUUCUCAAUAAAUUAACAACUGAUCGGAAAACCAACUUAGACAAAACCAACCUCCAUGACCAACCACACCAGGAGAUUCAUCCUUCACUAUCUCUUCUGGAUCCACAAUUCCAACAUAUGUACAUGUGCCACCAUGCUCGCUGUUAAACUCAGACUUGCCGGAGUGAGAUGAGGGGAAGGCGGAAGACCCGACCAACAUUGACAAAGUUUUUUUUUCUUCUUUUAAGCUGGACCGCCUGCCUGCCUAGGCGCAGUCCACGUAAGUUUCACCUAGCCCACUUAGACCCAGUCGCCUAGGCGAAAUCGACGUGAAAUGUCCGUUGUGUCCCCUGGUUUUUGCCCCUAUAUAUAAAGCCCUUCGGAGUCUCUUUCCUCACUUCUCGGUCGCCGAUCACCGGUUUGAUUUGAAUGUUGGGUCAUGGAGAUAGAGUGAUAUUUGUUCUGGGUAAGUUGGCUGAACCCAUCAACUUAAAGCUUUGCUUAAAGGCAAUGUAAUGUUAUUAUAUUGAAAACCCUUUCUGGUUUUGCCCAUUGCAUUCUAUUUCUCCUUUAUUUACUUUUGAUCACAUGCAUUACGAAUGAAAUAUCUGAACUUUUUUCUGUUUGUUAGCCCAGUAUUUGGAAAUUUUAAUCACUUAGUUUACAUCCAUUGCAUAUCGACUUGGGUUGGUUGCCUGGUCCCAAAGUAUUCUUCUUUUGUGAAACUGCCUUUUAGUGUUUGCUUAAGAUGUAUACAACUAUACAUAACCUUAUUGAACUGAAUUCAUAAGUGAUCUACAACCAUUACUUAUUACCACUAGUUAUUGUGGUUUACAUUUCCAUUGACAGACAUAGCAUCAAACUUUUGUAGAGCUUUUGUUCCUGUUAGUAAUAGUAUCCUCUAAUCUGUAUCUGUUAAUCAACCAGGAAACCAUAAGGGUUACUUGUACUUAACUCACAUUCUUUUUCAUAAUGUCCCCUUUAUUUAUAUUAGUUUACGAUUUUCUUGUACUUUUUGACUCUUUACUUUGAGUUUGAUUCAACAAUUGGCCUGCAUGAAAGUCUCCUCCCUUAUUACAGUUUUCUUGUUGUGUGCCUGUUUUGAAGCCAUAUUAAGCAACUCAUAAACUGUGAAAUAUAAUAAAGCAUAUAGAGUUUAGAUACUUAAAUGGUCUUAGCUAGGCACCAUGUCUUCAAAGAAGUUCUGUUUUCAUGUCCUUUGAAACUUGUAAUGUUAAUUUCUCUAACAAAACCAGAGAGAAACCAGGUGCCAUGGGCCACAAGCAUUUGCAACUGCAAGUUCUCAAGCUCCAGAAGUUUGUAGGGAGAGCACAGUCAACAGAUUUAGUAAUAUUCCUGACAAUGUGGCUCAUCACAUCCUGUAAUGUUGUCUAGGCUUCAGCUUUAGACAACUCGUUCAAGUGAGCAGUGUCCAAAAGAUGCAGAGAUUUUUAUCUGACCUCAUGAUUGAAUUUUAUUUCUAGGGAUGCAAUAAACAGGCAGGAUCAGGUUUACCUGUUGAAUUCUAUAGAUAGGUUCUUGAUUCUUCAUGGGGAUAAUAGGAUACAGCGAUUUCGUAUCGAUUGGAACUCCUAUGCAGGUCUCUGAAGAGGUUUUCCAAAUAGUGACCUGGGUCGAUAUUGCAUUAAGGUGUAAUGUUGAAGUGCUUGAGCUUCAAUUGAGAUUGCAUAAAGCAGAUAGCCCAUUGGUACCUCCAAGUGCUCAGGUAAACUUCCUUUUGCAAAUUUGGAUAUUUUCUUUUUACUGGAUGUUACAAGGAACAUGUCUCUGCUAUAAUGGUAGAUAGCUAGUUUGUGGUUCUUAAACUUCAUAAUUGUGUUGAAACUUGAAACCGAUAUAUGAAAUUGCUCUUACACUAAUUACGGAGCAGCAAAUUGCUGCAGUUUUGGUUCGAAAGCAAUUUAGAUUACUUGUCAGUAUGAAGGAAACUUUAUGAAAAUUAUACAACAGGUCAUUUAAUAUGCUUUUAUUUAUUGAUUUUUUCCAUCUGAGAAAAGUAUGGAGAAAGGGGAGAUGAAGAAAGAGAUGGAGAAAUGUGUAGAAGAGAGGUUGGUUAACAAAUCGACCAAGACUAUUACUAAAAACCAUUAAAGAUGCUCUUCCCCCUUCAUUAUUUUAAUUUUUUUAGAUAUCUUCUUCCUCGUCUCUCUUCUCUCUUUCUCUGUCACCUCUCUCAAAAUGAAUCCUUCCCCCAUGAUUUUAUAGUGAUUUAUGUAAGUGUGAGGGUCUUUUUUAAAAUGAAAUGCGACUAGGCCAAAAUCAAUCCAAUAAUCCGAUUAUUGGGAAGACUUUGUACGUGAUUCAGAUCAAGUAGAAAUCAAAAGGAGCUUGCAGCGUGAAGCAUGGUGUGGGGGAGCUAGAAACGCACUGCGGUGAGAGAAUUUGGGGGUUUUCUGGGUAAGGAUGUCUGAGAGAAGCGGAGGUUGAAGGUGGUUGUUUUGGGAAGAAGAUGGUUAGCUGGGUAAAGAGCUUGAAGGCAUGAAGGCUUGAAUGCUUGGGAUUUUCAAGGCUGUUUGUAGGUGUUUUCUGGGUUUUACAGGAUUAUCUUCAUGAUCUUUUCUACUGCAGGGACUCACCUUUUAUAGGCUCAAUGGAUAAGGUUUUGAUGAACAAAAGCAUAUGAAUAUCUGGGUAAAACAAAGUAGUCUUCUGGAUACAUGAUUUCUGCCUUAAAACCAGGAAAAAGAAGCUUACUUGUGAUGACUGCUAAUUGCUGCAGUGAUAGAGACAUGAUAGCACAAAACCUGGAACGAGGUGUGAAAGAGAGAUUGGAAAUCGUGAAUUAAUGCUUUGAGGGAGAAGAAGAUAACUCUUGAUUGAUUACAAGGUUGCUCCUAAUAAGAUGAUAUGAUCGCUUUAGGAGAUUAAGACUGCUGCGGGGAGGAAAGAAUCUGGAAAAUUGGUUGCUGCGUGAAAAAGAUGAAUCGAAGAAGAAAAAGGUAACUGGGCUUCUCUAAGUGGGUUUGUGCAUUUGGGCUUUUGGGUUUUAAGGAGGGAAUGACCCAAUCCUAUAUUCUCAUGCAUGUUCACCGAUUCACCGUCGAUUUAAGUCAUUGGGCUUGGAUUUCGAGCCCAAGAUCGAAACCACCAAUAACGUUAAACCGACAAAUGAGCAUUAUGCGUUUCCGUAACCUUCCACACCACACCCACUUCUGCAAGCCCCAAAGAUGCGUGGAUGUGGCUUGGGUCCACAUCAAUGGGCAUAUUUGCUUGACGUGUUAAAAUCCUAAUAUUAUAGGAAUUUGCACGAAUUGCAUAACAAAUUGUCGCGUGGCAAAGUGCAUGAUUUUUCGGGUAUCAACAGUAAGUUAUGAAACAUGUAUGGUCCCCAUUUUUUACUAUUGAUUUUGCAUUUAGCUGAACUUAAUCACCAGUAUAUAUUUUUUGGUGAUCACAUGCUUUGUAUUUUUAAGUAUCAGCCUGAAUCUUUGUAAUAAUUUUAUAUUGCAGUUAUAGGGAAGAUUUCAUGCUUCCACCAUUUGAUGUUAUUACUUACUGGAGUAUGCAUAUUCUGAGUUUCACUGAUGGCUAGUCCCUCCGAUGGUGUCUCUUCUGAAAGGGAUGCCUCAUUUUACUCUGUACAUGGAUUCUUAUCCUUCCUUGGAGCACAUCCAAAGUAAGUAGAUGUCUGUGUUGAAACUUUGAAAAUACAGAGCAUUUUGAUCUUAUUAUACUACAAUUUCCAUAGAUUGUAUAGCCCCUUAUAUGUUAAUGUAUAGUCAUCCUUUUACGUAGUGCAAUUAUGGGAAUUUUAUUUUUCAUUCUGUAUGUCUCGAAAAUUAUAUCUUGGUAAGUUUAGAUUUUAAAGAGAUUUGCUUGUUUUCUUUGCAGGCUUGUGGAUUUAAUAGCAAAUACUGGAAAUCCCAAAACCUUGAUUUUAUGUAUGAGCUUAAUGAGGUAUUGGCCACCGGGUUUAAUAAUAAUGCGUUGGAGUUAACAAGGUACAUUCUUGAGCAUGCUUCAAUUUUGGUUCAGUUUUUUUUUUCUGUGAUUCUAUAGGCUGUGGGAAGGACAGUGUAUGAAGCUUUUAGUUUGACCCAUAAACAAUAUCAUUUUGUAACAGAUUUUAUUGGUUCCAAGAUCCUGUAACAGUGGUUCAUCAAGGAUUGCAUUGUGGUAGACCAGUUAUCCCGAAAAGAAUGUCAUGAUGAAAACUUGCCAUGCAGCUUACAAAGGAUCCAAAAUGGAGAUUCUUCAAAAAACAGUCAGCACUCAGAAGCUAAUGACUUGGACAAUGUCAACGGAGAGCGAUGUGGAUCGAGGAAAAGCAUAAGAGAAUUGUGACUAUCAUUUCACAAUGAUUUGACAGAUUGAAAUAAACCCGAGGCACACUGAUUAUCAAACACAAGAUUUGGAAGCAUAGCCGGUUCGUACCUCCAAGUGCUCAGGUAAAUUUCCUUUUGCAAAAACAAAGAUGGAAAUGGAGUGUAUUUCAGUUUUGCACAUCGCUCAAAUUACUAUACUCAAAUUUUCAUAGAUUGUAUCGCCCCUUAUAUGUUAAUGUAUAAUAAUCCUUUUAUGUAGUGCAAUUAUGGAAAUUUUUCAAGGCAAGUCAAUAACGGUAGAUUGCUAGUUUGUGUCUUAGACUUCAUAAUUGUGUUGAAACUUGAUAUAUGAGCUUUUAGAAUGAUUACAAAGCAGCAAAUUCAUAUUGAGGAUGUUAUUACUUAGUUGAGUAUGCAUAUUUUGAGAUUGACUGAUGACUAGUCCCUGCCAUUGUCUCUCUUCUGAAGGGGUCGCCUCAUUUGAAUACUCUGUACGUGGACUCUUACCCUUCCUUGGAGCACAUCCAUAAACCCAAAGUAAUUGGAUGUCUGUGUUGACACUUUGAGAAUACAGUGCAUAGUGAUCUUAAUAUACUCAAAUUUUUUUUGAUUGAAAUGGAAUUUUAUUAACUUCAGACCAAAAGUCAUAUGGGUAAUAAUUCUCAAAAGAGAACCCCCAAUACAUCAAACAUUACUAUACUCAAAUUUCCAUAGAUUGUAUCGCCCCUUAUAUGUUAAUGUAUAAUAAUCCUUUUAUGUAGUGCAAUUAUGGGAAUUUUUCAUUCUGUAUGUCUUGAAAAUUAUAUCUUAGUAAAUUUAGAACUUUAGAGAGAUUUGUUUGUUUUCUUUGCAAGCUUGUGGAUUUAAUAGCAAAUACUGGAUAUCCCAAAACCUCAAUUUUAUGUAUAAGCUUAAUGAGGUAUCAAUAGCUUUGGCCACCGGGUAUGAUAAUAAUGCGUUGGAGUUAGCAAGGUACAUUCUUGAGCAUGCUCCAAUUUUGAGGAAUAUGUUUCAUAUUUUAUCUACCCCAAACAGUUAUAUGUUAUACAGAGAAAAGAACGAAAAUAAAACAACGGGUAAGAGCUUUUAUAGGAAUUUAUUUAACGUUACAUUAUUUCUAAUCUUGUAGCGUUUGUUGAUGAAUCGAUUGGAAAUAUUUUAGGAAGAUUUUAUUAGGGAACCCCAAAUUCUGUAAUUUUCCUUACCUUCAACUGUUUCUUACCAAUAGAGUACGAUGAAAUUUUCAUUUCAAGUAUACUGUUUUGAUUCUGUUUUUGGGUUGCUGCGUUAAAUAUGUUCAUACAAGUUUGGUAUACUGUUUAUAAUUUGGAUAGUUGCUAGGAAAAAGGGUACGCAAAUAUGUUACCAAUGUGCCGGUCUAUUACUGAAAUGGAUAUUCGAAGGUAACUAGGGUGAAAGGUACCUUAUAUUCGUGAAAUAUUGCACUACUAGAAGAAAAACUUUAGCCGACGAAAAUAAAAAAACCAGGCCGACGAAUUAUUUUUUCGUCGGCUAAAGUCCACGAAAUUUCCCUUCGUCGGCUAAUUAAAAAUUUUCAUCGGUUAUGGUCAACUUUAGCCGACAAAAUUAAUUUCGUCGUCUGAAUAAUUUUUUUCGUCGGCUAUAGUCUGUGAACUUUAGCCGAUGAAAUUUUUAAAAGUUUAGCCGACGAGAAAUAUAAUUUCGUCUGCUAAAGUGCUUUAAUUUCGACUGCUAAAGUGCCUUAUAUUUGCAGAUCUGGACAACAACUCAUCUGGGAAAAAAAACUAUACGUAGAACCUUCAAACGCAAAAAAGUCGUGAAAUAAGAUAUGACCAGAAUGGUGAAAUACGUCCACGGUUGAAAAAUCACGGUAUUCCGGUAAAGUCUCGGUGCCGAUAGUUGCGGUCAAUGCAAUUUACCCUUAUUAUUCAUUAUGCUGCAGAUUUGGUUUUUGGUGUCCGAUUGACUAUUGUGAUACCUUUCCGGAAGCGUAACGGCCCUACGAGUCAAACUCAUUGCUAAUGCCAUGUUGUAUGGGCCUUUUUGGCCAUCCGAGUCCGUUUAGGGCUUCAAAAUGCAGUUUUCUUAUUUCCGAUUAGAGUUGACCGUUUCGAUCGAGCCCUUAACGUUGUCGAAUCCAGUUGAAUUUUUUACCAUAGACAUCUUUCGUCAUAAUGAUGAUAUCGGACGGUCGAAUUUUGGUUUGUAAAUUUUAGUCAUCGGAAUCACAACGUGUCUACUAUUUACCGUUAUUAUUUCCUAUGGGGAGCCCUAUCGUCGGAAGGUAAAUGUCUCAAAAUUUUUAUAUGGGCAGUUGCGUCUCAUCUACGUGAGAGUUUUUUGUGUGGAAGGUUUGACCAAACCACGUAAUAUAGAGGGAGAUAUGAGCGUUUUCGUGUGAUAAGUGACGAUGGAUUAGGGUUACCUGUUUCGAUCGAGUCCUUAACGUUGUCGGAUCUAGUUGAAUUUUUUACUAUAGACAUCUUUCGUCAUAAUGAUCAUAUCUGACGAUCGAAUUUUGGUUUGUGAAUUUUAAUCAUCGGAAUCACAACGUGUCUACUAAUGUUAUAUAACUUAUUUAGUAGGUUAUACAACUUUGUGAACCAACUCUAUAUAGGAAGCAAAAUUAUCAAAAAUCUCGUGAAAUAAGAUGUGUUCAGAAUGGUGAAAUACGGCUAUGGUUCAAAAAUCACGUAAAUCGGGUAAAGUCUCGGCGCCGAUAGUAGCGGUCAACCCUAUUUACCGUUAUUAUUCCCUAUGGGGAGCCCUAUCGUCGGAAGGCAAAUGUCUCAAAAUUUUUAUAUAGGCGGUUGCGUCUCAUCUACGUGAAAGUUUUUCNNNNNNNNNNNNNNNNNNNNNNNNNNNNNNNNNNNNNNNNNNNNNNNNNNNNNNNNNNNNNNNNNNNNNNNNNNNNNNNNNNNNNNNNNNNNNNNNNNNNNNNNNNNNNNNNNNNNNNNNNNNNNNNNNNNNNNNNNNNNNNNNNNNNNNNNNNNNNNNNNNNNNNNNNNNNNNNNNNNNNNNNNNNNNNNNNNNNNNNNNNNNNNNNNNNNNNNNNNNNNNNNNNNNNNNNNNNNNNNNNNNNNNNNNNNNNNNNNNNNNNNNNNNNNNNNNNNNNNNNNNNNNNNNNNNNNNNNNNNNNNNNNNNNNNNNNNNNNNNNNNNNNNNNNNNNNNNNNNNNNNNNNNNNNNNNNNNNNNNNNNNNNNNNNNNNNNNNNNNNNNNNNNNNNNNNNNNNNNNNNNNNNNNNNNNNNNNNNNNNNNNNNNNNNNNNNNNNNNNNNNNNNNNNNNNNNNNNNNNNNNNNNNNNNNNNNNNNNNNNNNNNNNNNNNNNNNNNNNNNNNNNNNNNNNNNNNNNNNNNNNNNNNNNNNNNNNNNNNNNNNNNNNNNNNNNNNNNNNNNNNNNNNNNNNNNNNNNNNNNNNNNNNNNNNNNNNNNNNNNNNNNNNNNNNNNNNNNNNNNNNNNNNNNNNNNNNNNNNNNNNNNNNNNNNNNNNNNNNNNNNNNNNNNNNNNNNNNNNNNNNNNNNNNNNNNNNNNNNNNNNNNNNNNNNNNNNNNNNNNNNNNNNNNNNNNNNNNNNNNNNNNNNNNNNNNNNNNNNNNNNNNNNNNNNNNNNNNNNNNNNNNNNNNNNNNNNNNNNNNNNNNNNNNNNNNNNNNNNNNNNNNNNNNNNNNNNNNNNNNNNNNNNNNNNNNNNNNNNNNNNNNNNNNNNNNNNNNNNNNNNNNNNNNNNNNNNNNNNNNNNNNNNNNNNNNNNNNNNNNNNNNNNNNNNNNNNNNNNNNNNNNNNNNNNNNNNNNNNNNNNNNNNNNNNNNNNNNNNNNNNNNNNNNNNNNNNNNNNNNNNNNNNNNNNNNNNNNNNNNNNNNNNNNNNNNNNNNNNNNNNNNNNNNNNNNNNNNNNNNNNNNNNNNNNNNNNNNNNNNNNNNNNNNNNNNNNNNNNNNNNNNNNNNNNNNNNNNNNNNNNNNNNNNNNNNNNNNNNNNNNNNNNNNNNNNNNNNNNNNNNNNNNNNNNNNNNNNNNNNNNNNNNNNNNNNNNNNNNNNNNNNNNNNNNNNNNNNNNNNNNNNNNNNNNNNNNNNNNNNNNNNNNNNNNNNNNNNNNNNNNNNNNNNNNNNNNNNNNNNNNNNNNNNNNNNNNNNNNNNNNNNNNNNNNNNNNNNNNNNNNNNNNNNNNNNNNNNNNNNNNNNNNNNNNNNNNNNNNNNNNNNNNNAUUUUCAAAAUUUUCAAAAGAGUUUAGCCGACGAAAAUAAAGAAUUUCGUCGGCUAAAGUUCUUUAUAUUACCGAAGGUGGAUGGUAAGAAAUCUGUUUCACCUGCCAGAUUUUCUUCUCGGCCUAGCUCCGCCGUCAAGCCACCGGAGACCGCCACACUAGUCCCAAAAGCUUCGUCGUCGUCUCUACUUCAUUGCUGGAUAGGUGGUGCAUCGAGUGGCGCCGCCGUGAGAGAUAAAUCGAGCUCCAAAACUCCGCCGGUUCGGAUUUGGUGUCGAUCGAAUUUCUCCUUCCUCAGGUCACCAUUUGGUGAGUUCUAUAUAUGAAUAAGUUGAGUUUGAUUAGUACUACAUUCCCCUAGAAUUUGGUAGCUCGAUUCGGUAUGUGUGAGGAGAAUCGAAGAUUUGAAGUUUUUAGGGUUUAAAAUUAGGGAUUUUUAUAUUUUGAUUCAAUUAACCUAUUUAGGCUUAGAAUUGGGCUUUGACUUCUUCUAGAAAGUUGUUCGAAAUGUUGAGAAGAAGAUUCUGUCAAAUUUGGGGGUGAUUGGAGGUGGCCGAAAGUUUCUGUAGUUUUUUUUCAAAAACCAGCAACUUUAGCCGACGAUAUUUAAAGGUUUAGCCGACGAUAUUUAAAGGUUUAUUCGUCGGCUAUAGUAUUUUUAAAUUUUUUUAUAAGGUUUAGCCGACGAAUUAUGGCAUAUUUCGUCGGCUAUAGUUAUUUUUAAAUUUUUAUAAGGUUUAGCCGACGAAUUAUGGUAUAUUUCGUCGGCUAUAGUUAUUUUAAAAUUUUUAUAAGGUUUAGCCGACGAAACAGACUAUAUUUCGUCGGCUAUAGUUAUUUUUUAAAAAUUUUUUUUAUAAGGGUUUUAGCCUACGAAACAUACUAUAUUUCGUCGGCUAUAGUCUGGGAAAAAUUUUUUUAUUACAGACUUUAGCCGACGAAUAUCUUAAUUGUUUCGUCGGCUAAAGUCUAGGAAAAAAACCGACGACAUGUUUUUCGUCGGCUAAACUGCGGGACUAUAGCCGACGAAAUUUUUUUUUCGUCGGCUAAAGUCAUCACAGACGAGCUUUUCCCGACGAAAUCUUGGCCGACGAUGGCUCGUCGGCUAAGAUCUUAGCCGACGAAUUAAGCUAACAGUUUUCGUCGGCUAAAUUUUUCGUCGGCUAAAGUGCUUGUCUUGGUAGUGUUGACAGAAUAGGUAGGUAUUUUACAUUGUGUAAUACCCCGGAAAUUUGAUAUUAGUUUCUAAUUUUAUUUAGGAAUUUUUGAGUUAGAAGUUAGUGUGUUUUGAAGUUCGAAGGAAGAGCGGAAGGGUUCGGAUGCGUAAAUUGCCUGAACCGGUUUUAUGGUUCUGAAGGGUCAACAGUUGACUUUCUAAUCCGUUGGGUUUCUCGAGAAACUUCCUUCACGAAAGUUGUAGAGCACGACGAUACGAGUUCGUAAACACGUGGCACGCGUAAAACGGACUUCGUAUGAGAAAGUUAUGGUCAGCAGAAGUUGUGGCUUUUCGGGAAUAUUUAGGUUAAAUAGGAAAAUUUCGUUUUGGGUUCUCUUAUUUUUCAGAAUUCCUUUUCUUCCCCUUUCUUCUCUCUCCCCGACCCCGAGAGAACCCAAGCUUCCCAGCCGACCCGACCCGGACCCGGUUGACCCGACCCGGACCCGGUUGACCCGACCCGGAUUUUCCGGCCAUCUCCGGCCGACCCAGGCGACGGCACCGGUCGGAGUCGUUUCUCCUUGGCGGCGCAAUCUUCCCUGUGUUGGUGGAUGAGGAUGACCCGAGCUGAGCUGUGCAAGUCGAGCGCCACAGUGAGGGCGGGCGACCCGGUUUGCAACCCGAUCGGUUUCCUACCUCCGACGGCGGCGACGCAGCUUGGAAACGGUCGGGAUAUGAAGUGUUGGACGUCCUCGUUCUAUCCCUGGUGGUGUUGAAGCUCAACUCAAGGCGGAGAGUGGCGGUGGUGGAUCCCAAUCUUUCCGGCGAGUUUCCGGCUUGUUUCCGGCCGAUUGGGGCGAAACCUCAGGUAUAAAAGAUGCUCCCCUCUCUUUAAUCUUCAAGUUUUGUGUUGGGAGUUUGUCUUAAUUCGAAAGUUUUGGGGUGGCGCGUGGGGCCCACUCGCUGCCGUCGGUGGUGGCGUGUCCGGCAGGGGUUUGGGAGGUCUAUAGUCCUUGUUAGGUGGUGCUCAUCAAUACGAGCACGUUAGCAUGUAGAUUGUAGGUUUUAGAGUUGUUUGAGCAUGUUAGGGUUUGGUGAAGUUCUUCUAGGGCGUGUGGGGCCCACUCGCCGCCGCCUGUGGUGGCGUGUGGCGACGCGCCCGGUAGUGUCUGUGGUGUUUGUGGUGCUGGUUAGGUAGUGCUCAUCGAUACGUUUGUGUUGAUUUGUGGUUUUUAGAUUUUGGUUGUCAAUAAUUGCAUGCUUGGACUUUUUGGUUAAUCUUAGAUUUGUGGAAGGUUUUUAAGUGUCCUACGACCUUGGGAAGUCUCGGAAGAAGGUUGCCCCCUUUUUGGCAAUCUUGGGUUAAACCUUGUUUAAGGGUGCAAUGUUAUGUUGUUUAAAUAAUUAUUAAGGAUGACUUUGUGUUAUCUAGGUGAUUGGCGAUUUUGGUGUUUUGCUUGUUCUUGUGGAGUUUAGUUUUGAGCUAGACGCUUGUGUUUGUGUGAAGACGCAGCGGGAGUAAAGGUGAGUAAAUCGCACCAAGGUUCAUGUUUGAACCAAAUUUUAUUAUGGUUAUGUGAUGAUGAUAAUGAUUAUGAUAUUUAAAUUAAUACUAUGCUUUUAAUUGUUUUAAAAUAUACGAGCUUGAUCGUCAACGGCUCAUAAGUAAGAUAAAACAAGUUUUCCUAAUUAUUAUUAAGUUAUUCCUGUGGAAUAAUAUUUUUAUUGUUCAUAAUAUUAUAUCCUUGUGAAGGAUAUAAUCAUAAGAUGUGAUCUUGUGUUAUGAUGAUUGUUGGAUAAAUAGCCUAGCCGGGUUCUAAGCUUUUAAUCGGGUGAUUGGUUGCGGUUAAGAUGCUAUUUAUCAUUUUUAUGUUUUGAUAUUAAAUAGCCAAACCGGGUUCCAAGCCUUUAAUCAGGUGAUUGGUUGCGGUUCUGAUGCUAUUUAUUAUUGUGUUUUGGUAUUGGACAGUCAAACCGGGUUCCAAGCCUUUGGCCGGGUGAUUGGUUGCGGUUAGGAAUAGAGCUCUAGUCCGUCUGUCAGUGUAGGUCAUGGGAGGUACCUGAAGGUAUCUGGGACCCAUGGGUACAUAAAUUGUGUUGUAGGUCAUGAGAGGUAUUUAUUAAUAUAUGGGACUCAUGGGUACAUGUGUUUGUAAGAGUAUUGGUUAUGUGGUUUUUAACCUUGUUCUUAAUUGUUGUCGAUGAAAUUCUUUGUUUUGAGUAUCUCCUGAACUAUGCUUAAUGCAGGAGAUUCUCCAAUUUAAUUGUGUGAUUUUGAGUGAAAUUCCUGAACUAUCCUGUUUGCAGGAUUCACUUAUGAUUUUAUUGUUUUGAAGUGAUUCAUGAACUAAGUUCUAAAGCAGGAAUUACCGGUUUAUCUUAUGUGGUGUUAGAGAUGUUGAGUAAAUUUUGAGAAUUACUCAUACGAGCUUUUUAGCUUACCGGGUUUGUUGUUUACAACCCGGUGCACCAAUUCAUGGUGUAAGGGUUAGACUUGCAGGUGUUGAUCAACAGGGUUGAGGCAGAGGCAUAGUGGCUGGGGUUUAGAUGAUGUACAUUUUAUUUGUAUAUUAUGUAAGUUGUUUUAAGCUCGUGUGAGCAUCUUCUUUUUACUAGACUUUUGAAGUUGUAAAUAAAGAGAUGUAAUGUUUAACUCAGUCGAUGAGUUUUGUUGACAUUUACAUUUCCAGCAUUUAAGUUUAGUAGGGAUUUGUUGAGCAGGUCAUGUAGUCUUAUUUGUGAGUUAUAUCAUGCCCUAAAUUUUUGAAAUUUAUCCUUCGAAAAUUGGGGUGUGACACAUUGAGUUAUCUUAGUAUUGCUACUGAAAAGGUUUUUUUUUUUUUGGUUUCCUUUAUAUCGUUCUGGGGGUUUGAGGAACAAACAAACUCCACAACCAGAAAACCUCCGCAAUCACCACCACCGCCAUACCAGCUUUCAAACCCCGCCAGCUCAUGAGAAAGGCGGACACCUUUACCACAAAGCUGACGGGAAAACCAGUACUGCUACUGAAAGUUAUGUAAAGUAAUGGGAGGCUGUUGGUUCAGUGACUUUUAUUCUUUUUCUCUGUGAAUCUAUACGCUAUGGGAAGGACAAUGUAUGAAUCUAUAAAUUAACAAUAUCAUUUCGUAACAGGUUUUAUUGGUUCCAAGAUCCUGAAACAGCGGUUCAUCAAGGAUUGCAUUAUCCAGAAAAGAUUGAUGGAUAAUUAAGAAUACAUUAGCCCUUGUAUCGAACAAGAGAAGUCUAGUGAUAAAGGAUGUACAUUUGGCCCACCCCGUCAUGAUGAAAACUUUUCAUGCAGUUCACAAAGGAUCCAAAAUGGAGAUUCUUCAGAAGCUAAUGACUUGGACAAUAUAUGUCAAUGGAAUGAGUUGUGGACCAAGGAGAAGCAGUUCCACAAAAGAUUUGGUUACUUCCACUAUUUGAGGAAGAAGAAUAAGAGAAACCACAUUGUAAUGUGACAGUUGUUAGAGAGCUGAUGCGAGCGCUUCGAGAAGCAUCAGAUCCUACAUUGCAUAGUCUUAAGCUUCAUUUGUUUAUUUCCUAGGUGAACUAGGAAAAGUGUUCCUCGAUCAGUAAAACUGAGGAGCUAUGUUGUUUUAAUCCUGAAAAUUUGAAGGCAUUCAAAAGGCUGGUAAAGUGAAUACAUGGUUACAUAAAAUAAGUGGUGAAAUAGAACAUCUUAAAUCGACAAAUGCAACUGUGACAUAAAUUUAGAAGGUACUCAUGUCUGAACAUAAUAGAGACAGAACUCACUCCAAUUUUCUUUGUUGGAUGCCUCCGUGUUCUUGUCAGGGUCUAAUUAACAAGAAAUAUUCUUUACUAAUACUUUAAAAAAAAAAAAAACAUAACAUUCAAAGCUUUCGGGCUAACCAAAUUAUGACUUAGAAAUCUCAAAAAUAAACGCUGAAUUUUGGUUGUAUUUUUUCACCUCUCAAACUACAAAAAGCUAGUCAGAAGUCUAUGUUUGCAGGUAGCUAGACUAUGAAAAAAAUAUGUUCUUCAAAUUCCCCCCAAAUUUUUCUUUUUUCUUCAACGGUAUGUAUUCCCUCUUAAAAGCAAGUUUGAAUUUAAUUGAAAUAUUUGGCGAAGGCAAUGUGAACACGUGACUUUUUGCCUGCGGACAAGAAUAUACAUCUGAACAUAGGCCCGCAGCUGAUAACAAAUAAAAACAUGCCACGUCAACCUUGUCAAACCGAUUUCAGAGUCCGCCAAAGUUAAAUUUACGAAAUUGCACCUCAGCUGUGGACCUUUAUAACCCGCAUUCCACCGACUUUAGAUUUUCUGGGUUUCCUCUCUUUUCUGACAGCAAGAUUGCCUGGGUUUCUAGAACGUUUCUCUGCAAAAUUUGAGUGAUCUCCUCUAGAGGUACCUCUUCUUCUUCGUCUUCUUCUUUGGUUUCCUUUCCCAAAUUUCCAUAUGAAUUGUUCUCUGGGUCUCUGAGCAUGGUUCUUUUUCUCUUACUGUUGAGGGUUUUGGGCUAUGGGUUCUUGGUAACGAGGGUUUCAAGCUUUGGCUAAUUUGCCAAAUUUUGUUGCAAUUUUUUCCUUUUAUGAAUCUUUAAGAGUAUUGGGUAUGAUUAGAGCAACUAAUUUCCGUUGUAAAUUGACUUUGUUGAAUUGGGGUUACAGGGUAGUUUGAAUUGAUGGGUUUAUUCUACCGUGUUCAUGGCUUCAUCUCUGUUUAUUGGUUUCUGCAAUUUGGGCUAGUUCCAUUACAUCUUGUUUCUUUUCCUGCAUUUCUUUUUUACUACUAAAAAUGGGUUCUUUUGAGAUGGGGGCUUUGGUUUAACAAAAGGGUUCUACAAUUGGGUUCUUUUUUUGAUGGAAGGAUCAAUGAGCUUUUUCCAGGUCUUGGUGUCAUGUACAGUUGUUGUAAGGGUAAAGAGUUAUGAAUAGAGAAGUUAGCUACUGCAAUACAUCUCAUUUUGUUUAGUUGGGGACUUGGGUGUAGUAUAAAAAUGGUUACUACUCUUCAUGGGUUCAUCUGUUCUAUUGCCUUAUCUAUUGUGUUACUGUUGGUACUCCCAGAAAUUUUAUUAGGAACAUAAUUAGGCUUGUUAAUUGACAACUCUGCAUAUCAUUAUGUUGGUAUCAUCUUAGUGGAAGUUUUGGAUACUUAAACAUAGGUUCUCCCAGAUGUGACUGUGAGUGACAUUGAGAUGCUUAGAAUCACUAUAGAGCAGCUAUUAUGGAUUUUUAAACGUAUCAAUGCUGUUAGACAGUUGUGAAUACAAGUGCCUUAACGAUUUACUAUCCUUCUAGGUUCUGGAAAAUUGCAUUGCAUUGGGUUGAGAAUAGACAUGGUGAUUGAAAAGUCAGUGCCUCCCUUGGCAUCAUCAAAAGGAACUCUGUCACGAAGUAAUGUUCCUUUUCAGGAAAGAUUGGGAAGGUUUCCAAUGGAGAUUGGCGAGUGCUCUUCCCAUACUAAGCCACCUGAGGGUAAGAGUACUCAUAGACGCUCUGGUAUUUGUGAUGUUUCAUUAGGGAGUGGACCAAGAGCUCGGGUAAGCAGUUUGAGACCUAUCAGAGAAGCGGCUUCUGUUGGUAUUUCAAAGGAAGAGAUGGCUACAGGAGAAGAGUCUCAUAAUGAAGAUGGCAUGCGAAUGAAGGUGAAAGCUGCUCAGCGCUCAUUUUGGUUUGCUUUUAGAACUCUAAAAGAUGAUGAUCCAAAGGGUAGGAGGUUUGAUGCUAAGGCGGCAAAGGUUGUCAAGGCAAGUGGACGGUCUGUGAAUGAAGGGAAGCCAAUAAUUGGGAUUGUGCCGGGUGGUGAUGUUGGUGACGAUUAUACAUAUAGAGCACAACUCGGUGUAAUUGGGUUGCAUAGACCAAUUAGGGCAGGUAUUGAUUUUGUUAGGCAUGGUGGCAAGAGGCUUGCCACUAGCAUUGUGGCCUCGGGAAGCUAUGAGGAUGACAUCAAAAAUAAGAAGUCUAUCAAAUACACUGGCCAUGGGGGCAACUACAUGAAUGAAGAGAAGAAGAAAUAUGAUCAAAAGUUAGAGAGAGGAAACCUUGCUCUGAGGAAUAGUUUUUACAUGAAAAAUUUGGUGAGGUUGAUUCAUAGGAUCAAGAACUCGGAUGGUGAAUACAAGUAUGUUUACAAGGGACUGUUUUUGGUGACCAAGUGCAGCCGGAAAAGAGGAAGACAUGGAAAGCUUUUAUGGGAGUUUCACCUUGUUUUCAUUCACAAGGGUUGAGAAGCUCUGAUUUGUAACCCUCUCUAUGUUUAUAGAUCUCUCUCUCUAUGCUUAAGCCACCAUGUAUAGGCUCAUUAGGCUUUAUGGUUCAAAUAUAUUGUUUAGCAUUCAUGUACUUGACGGGAUGUUAGAAUAUACUAGAUUUGCUAAUGAGAUUUUUCAGAACUUUGGCAGCCUAGCUAUUAUUAUUUUGAGACGAUUUAUUGCUGAAUGGUUGUGUUAUGCUUCAUGCAUUUCUGCAUAUAAGGCUUUAAGUUUAGUUUUCUUCUUUUCUUUUAGUGCCAACUCAAGAAGAAGAAAAAGGUGUUGCUUCCACCAUGUGAUAUGUGUUAGAACAUAAUGCACAUUGGUCAAUAAGUAAUCUACUAGAUCAAUGAAGAAAAGCCUAGAAUAAUGCUGUAAUGAUCAUGAGAUGUAAUUAAGUCCUAGAGUUGUCUAGAGCUAGCAAAUGAUCUAGCUUGAUCUAGACUAAUCCAAUAGGUCGGUGGCUUAGUAACAAGGUCGGUUGACAAGUCAUAUAUAUACAUGUAGUAAACAGUAAACACAAUCAGAUGAGUGAAUGAAUUAAUGAAGCAAGCUAUUGAAGUAUAGUAAUUCCUCCUCUGUUUCCAUAUCCCUCUAUCUUAACCUCCUAAACUACUUGUCCUAAUAACAAACCUUCUCUCAAGUCUAGCUCCUAAACACCUUGUCCUAAACAUAUUGUUCUAGCCCACUACAUUCCAAACACUUCCGCAAGCUAAACUCCGAUUGUGGUAAUAAGCCACAAACUCUAAAAGUGGAACACCCACAAUAAUUUCUAACAAUGGUAUCAGAGCCUAGUGCGAUGAAAGCCUUGGAGCGUUAAAUUUAUCAGAGCUUGCUUCGAUCAAAUUUAGACGUUAAAAUUGUCCACCGUAUCUACCUCCACCUCCAACCAAUCAUCAAUUACUCUUCCUAUCUUCAAGGGGGAUAACUAUGACUUUUGGAGUAUCAAAAUGAGGACUUUCUUCAUGUCUCAAGAUCUAUAGGACAUUGUAGAUAAAGUGUUCUCAACUUCGGAAAAUCCAACGCUGGAGCAACUACGACAAGAAAAGAAAGAAAAGCAAAGAGAUGCGACGACACUAUUUGCAAUCUAACAAGUGAUGGACGACACAAACUUUUUAAGAAUCAUGGGAGCUACUACAUCAAAAGAAGCUUGAGAUCUACUAAAGGAGGAGUUCCAAUUAAGGAACUCAAAGGCACAUUCCCUCAAACUACAAACAAUGAGGAGAGAAUUAAAAAAUAUAAAAAUGAAAGAUUUUGAGAUUGUAAAAGAUUAUUAUUCUCGCAUUAAGAAAAUAGUAUAUCAAUUAAGAAAAUAUUAAUGAGACUAGAGUACUAGAAAAAAAAUACUCAUUAGCCUCACUAUAAAAUAUAAUCCAAUAGUUACUGCAAUUGAAAAUUUUAAAGACAUUUCACACAACAAUUUGCUUCUCGUAUCGACGAAUUAGAAGAGAUGUUAACCGGCAACCGUAUUUGGAAACAACGAUUAGUGGAUAUUGGUGACAAAAUUAAUAGGUUAUGUUUGAGCCCAAUUUUAUAUUCUGGUUAUCUUGUAAUAAGUUAGCCCAAGGGCCAAUACCUACGGUCCAAAUAUCUGUAUAUCAUUAGAUAUCUUAAGGAUUCGGUUAUGUGAUUUGAGUAGGAGAAUAUCUCUCAUGAUUCGAUUAAGAAUCUGAUUGCCUUGAUGCGCAAGUCAUUCGCGAACCUAUCUUAUAUAAAAGAGGUUCUAGGGCAAAUAAGGAAAAGGACGAACAAAUCAACAAACCCUUGCACCCUGCAUAUUAGACGCCUCUCCAGGAGCACCCAAUCUACCAAAAAGCCUCUUCAGGAGCACCAUCAAGCCUCAUCGCGAGCAAAAAUCCGCUUCACUCACCAAAAGCCUCGAUCAUGAGCAAAGCCCGCCCCCAGACCAUAAAGCCUCAAUCACGAGCACAAGCCCACCAAACCAUUGUUAUAGAGCCCCUCUCUAGCAAAUAUCCCUUUUAUUUUGUUGUUGAAGUAAAUCCUAGGGGUUUCCUUAUGUCGUAAGAAAGAAUCUAGCAGCAUGAUUGACCGCUCUUGCUUAAAAGUAUCAAGACUAGAUAGUUGCACCAACUCAGAAGUGCUGACAUGCUACACAAAGCCGGUUGUUUAAAGAAAGUCAAAUUUCACCCCGAACAUAUUGGCACUGCCCAAGCGGGACAUAUCAGUGGCAAGAUUGCGUCCGACAAUAUCUAUGAAAGGAAUUAUCUAUGCGUUCCUUACCGGAACAUUUGCACUGCAAACCUCACAAUCCACUGAAGUGCAAAAGCUUGACUAUUGAGCAAGUCAAUAAGCGUAUUCAGUUUAGAAACGAUGACUGGAGGAUCUGGAGUCAAGAAACUUGUCUCUCAAUAGCAGCCACAUGAUAUAGUUGAUCAAAUCCGUAGCAUGAAAGAAGAACUAAUCAAAGAGCAGGAAGAGAUGAUGUCAAUAGUUGCGGAUAUCUUUGAAGGAAUCAAAAGGAUGGAUGACCAAGUUUCCCGGCUUUGGGGCAAGAUGGAAAGUCACUCUGAAACUAUCCAAGAGCUCAAGGACAUUGCUGCCAAAUUGAAUGCAAUUGUCGUUGACAAGGUUCUUUGCAACACAGAUAAUAGCUCAGAAGGGAACGUUGUGUUGCAGCGAACACUUUUCCCGGAUGAUAAACUUGUGGAUUCCAUAGCUUCCAAAUCUCCUACUCUCAAAACCGGAGGACAGAUAGUGCUCAAUGUGACUCCACCAAAUGCCGGUCAAGUGAGGCCUCAUGUUAAUCCAACCUUCCGAGACCGAAUGUAGAGGAGCCAGUUGUGCAACCAGCACAAUAGGUAGGCGCGAAUAUAAUCAAUCUGCCUGUGGAUAUCCCAUCUCUCAUGGAAUAGAUGAUGCAGUGUUUUAGAGCUGAGGUAGCAGCACCUGCUGUGAACCUCACGUACAAGAAUCCUUACUCUGAUUAAGUCGCGAAGGGUCAGAAGAUGCAGCAACUUAUAUCUCUAGGUUUCAAGGCAAAUAAAGUCCCUUCAGGAACGAUGCUAUGUUGAAAUUAAAAUUUUUUGGUUCGUCCUCGGGUUCAGCUCUGACAUGGUAUACUAAAUUGAUACUUGGGUCUAUCCCUAAUUGUCCCACUAUGGAACCAAUGUCCAGAACCACUUUUGGUAAUCACUACUUCUUACUGGAUAAAUGCUGUUGGAGAUUUCACAUGAUAGAAUCAAUUUUUGCUUCUUUAACUGUUAGGAGAAUUGCAGAUCAACAGAAGUUUUUGAUACCAAAUCGUGUUGAAUUGAAUCGUUGUUGGUACCCUUUGUACUAGAAUCUACAUAGAGAGCUAUAGAGCAUAUUGGAUGUCAUGUUUUAGUUGUUGCCUUACCCUAUCAUUCUUGGUUGCUAGAUACAUGCCCUUCUUGAAAGGUGUUCAGGGUCUGGCAUUGCUAACUAACAGCUCUAGAAAGACCCCAAGGGUGGACAACUUCUAAGUUCUAACCCUGUUGUUCAUGGUCUAGUGAGUGGAAUAUUGGUAAGGAGUUUAGCUCUGGUUUUCAGCAUUUGUUCCAGAAGUGCUGCAGCUAUGACUCUAUACUUAGGAGAAGGUAUAAUGGACUUAGAAUUACUGCAACUUCAAAACUAUACUUGGGAGAAGGUAUUGCGCAAGACACUAAAUUUGAAAUAUAGAAGACGAAACAUAUAGGAGGAUAUAGUUAAUUUACAACUUUACAUUACAUUUAUACAUAUAUAGAGUAUAGUUCCUGACAUGAUCAGUACUUUCUUGCACUAGCUAACAUAAUCCAGAUUGCGAAAUAGACAGUACUAAUGCUACAUUGUUGGGCAUGGCUCACAGAGUGACCAAUUAUUACAAUUAACCACUUGAAAUAGCUUAGUUAACGAUGGCUGACCAACCACUUGGUAUCGGCAAAGAGGACAUACAUGAUUGUUUUUGAGCCAGUUGACAAUGCAGUCUCCAUGGAAACGGUGUGAGCAAGGCAACCGAGCAACUACCCUCAAAGGGGGUGGCUCUUUUCUUGGCGUCUUAGCGAUGGUGCCGCUACUGCUUUGUAGUCCAAGCAGCCUCUUGCUCUUCCUCUUGGGCUGUUGUUUGAAUUGUUUCUUGCCUUUUUUAUCAACUAGGUCCUCCAUACAAAUAACACAAGAGUCUUCAAACCCCAAGAAGCAGCCAUCAACUCUCUCUUUCUCCAUACCCUCAACUGAUGAUAUCGCAUCGUCUAGAAAAGCAUCGCAAGCAGAUGUGAACAAGCACUCCUUCACUUCCACUAUGUCGACAUGAAUGACAGAAGCUGUUGAGGCCACUGCUGGAUCUUCUUUUUCGGCCACCCGGAAUACUUCUUCAAUACAAGAUCGUCGUACAUGAUCGGGGAGUGGCUCCUCCUUAAAUCGGCGUGAAAAGAAGUCGACCAUUCUCCAUGUAUACUCACUCCUGUUGGAUAAUAGCUCGCUUCGAGGAAGAUCAGAGAUGACGAGUUCGUCACCUUUAUGGUGGUAAGGUAUGCCAUCAGACAUGGUUUUACCAGGUUUCAAGGAGACUCCCAUCUUAGUGUAGAUCUUUAUCUUGAUCUCAACCGAGUCCUCGCCUUCCCAUCGAUUGGGGUCGCUUGUGAGCCACACUUCGCUCUCGAAUGAACGUUUCUCAAAAUACAUGAUUGCUUCCACUACCAGAAUAUGGAAACAAUCUGUAGUCGACGAUUGCUAUUAUAUAGGCAUGCUAGCUAGGUAGUCCGAAUUCGACGAGGACUACAAUCCUAAUGCUGUUAGGGUUUAGCUAAAAGGAUUUUUGGAGAUUUCCGAAUGGGAAGAGGAUUCCGCUUUUAUAGCCAGCGUGGACCUAACUCCUAAGCAACCAAGUAAAAUGCGUCCCAAAGAAAAGAAAAAAAAAAAAAAGGAAAAAGAAUAUAAAAUCGGUCAAAAUGACCCCAAAAAAGAAAAAGAAAAAAGGAAAUAUAAUCGCAAUUAUAUAUGGUCAUUCUCAUUGUAUAGGUGUCAACCAGCUGUGCUUUGUGGCCACCGCAGACCACAAUAACGAUUCUCUGUUGCCCUCCACUGUUGCUCUCCUUCAACUCUAUAUAGCAACCUCACCCUCAUCUUCCAUCCCUUAUUCUCUUCCCCUACUACUUCGUCUUCAACCCUCACUUUCCUCUGUUGCAUUUCACUCUAGCUCAUUCACACGUACGUACGAGGCCAUGGCUCUCACACCUGCCAUGCUCGCCCUCACACUCUCACUCUUCCUCCUCCUAGCUUCAUUCUCCACAGCUCAACCACCCUCCUACUCCCCAACAUAUGCUCCCAUGACCACUCCCUCCACACCUGCGCCAACAACCACCAUCACUCCGCCACCGACCGUUUCAGCUCCUCCUCCCAUGGUCACUGCCACUCCGCCGACCAGUAUGCCUCCUUCAAUGCCUCCGAUGACUUCCACCAGCCCUCCUUCAAUGCCUCCAAUGACUUCUUCUACUCCUAUGCUCAGCCCUACAAGCCCAGCCCCGUCUACUAUGAUGAGCUCGCCGCCUGCACCAGCCGCACCAGGUGAAUCUCCCAUGGCGUCUACUCCAGGUUCAGGUGCAGUUGUUCAUGGAGUUAACAUGGCCUUGCAGCCAUUCCUGGCCGGAUCAGCUAUUGCUCUACUACUCCUUGCUUGAUUGAACUUAACGUACGUAGAUUUAUAUUGCUAGUAUAUCUGUGUAUCCUCUUUACAUUUUUGUUCUUUUUUUCCUUUUGUCUAUUUUUUUUUCUCUUUUGUUUGGUUAGUUCUGAUUUUUGGGAGCUCCAUUGUGAUUUCUAAGAGGAGAUUUAUCGGAUGUACGUACGUAUGUACUUAUGUUAAUAACGUACUCUUCAAUAGUUUGUAGCAUUUUUCAUAGAUGAAUAAGAGAGCCCGGCCGUCAUUCUUGUUUUGUGUAUAGAAGUGUGUACUAAUCAAUAAUUACAGUUGUUUACCUGCAUAGUUAAACUGCAAACACCUAAAACCUAAUCGAUCCUGUAUAUAUGAUCGGGUUCAAUUUACAGUUCGAUCGCCUACCACUCAUACCCUAGCUGGUACAGCAUUUCUAUAUUUCAUUUCAAUAUACGUGAUAAUAAUAAAUUGGGUCUGGAAAUUCAAAAUUUACUUCCCAACAAUAUCUCCAACUGUAUAUGUAUAUCAAAAACCCUAACACUCUUAGAGUUGAUCAAUGAAAUGGUGGUUGGGUUGUUGAAAUGGGUGGAUAGAGCAGUGAUAUUUCUGUGGAAAUAUCAAUGGAACAUAUAUGAUAGUGGAAUUUGUACAUGGUGGGGAAGGAAUGGGAUGAGAAAAUGAUAAAGUUAGGUGCAGCAUUAGCUAGGGUAACUAGUAAAGGAAUAAUGUGUGGAAGAAAUGGGAUAUGGUGAAUUGCAUAUUAGGAUAGGAUACAUGCGCGCAUGCAUUGCGUUCCAGCUUUGCUUGGUAGUCUUGUUUGUGAUCUUUUUAUGGUGGGUUAAAGGAUUAGAGGGAGAUAGAAAUGGCAUGGCCAGCCAAGCUCAAAUGGGAAUGAUCGACAUGAAAGCACAAGGCAUCCAAAGGAAUGGUACUUAUUCAUGGGGUAUGUGGGGUUUGAUACGCAUAUAUGGUGACAAAACAUAUAAAUUGGAAAGUGAAGUGCACAUGACUCCUACUACUAGUUGCCCCCACGAAACAUACAUAUAGGUGAGCCGUGAGCGAGAGGUCGAUCACGAAUCCAUUAACUUCUUCCUUUGUGUAAAUUCUAGCUUCUCGUGUUUUUUUUACAGUUAGAUCAUCAAUAAGUUGUGAAAACAGUUAUGCAUACAAGUAGAGGAUCCAGGAAAAACUACUUUGGCAUAAUAUUGGUUUCUUUUAGUUGAAUACAAGGAAUUACAUUACGCAUGCAUACAUUUCCACUACAAUGAGUUCCAAAACGAUGACAAUUGAUUGACCGAGAGACUGAGAGAGCCCUCCGAUCCCCCCGCUAAUAUUUAAGAAGGAAUGAUCGGACUCAUCGGAGUGCUAAUUACUUUCCUGAAACUCUGAAAGAGUUCCUCAAAAUGCCAUAGAUUGGCUUAAGCAUCAGGGAGUUGUAGCUAGGAAUAACUACUUGAUAUGUUUAGGGUAAAAUGACCUAUCCCUACUUUCAGCUGGCCAACUUCUAGAAAGAAAUAUAUAGCAGAUGUUUCUUCAACAGACGUAACUAUGUGCUCACAGUUAUGAGAGAGAGAAGGGAUAAUUUGGUGACGACUAGCUAGCUUACAGCAGGCAAUCAAUGAGUGAUGCAUGGUGGUCUGCGUACGUAUGAACAACCGUGAGUGCUUAUGGCACUACAAAGGAAUAAUCCAAAUGGACGAUGUGACAAAUAACAUGUAAUGCGAAAAAACCACAUGCACCGUGUUGGUCACUAGAAUUUGGAACUUUGGAAUAUAACUAUUUGUAUAUAUACUUGCAUAUCAAUUGCAGUAUGAGUUCAAUUUAGUCAUGGUAUGUGGUAUGUCUGAGUUCAAUACGUACGAUCAAACAUUCACAUCAGCAGGUUAAUUAGUGUGAGUUAUUCUGCUUAGGUCUCAUUCUUCAAAACUUGCUCAUCUUGAAACAGUUUAAUCAUUUAGUGUUAACCUUGAAGGCUUGAACUCUCAUUCAGUUGAACCCAAUUUGAGUUGAGGAUUGGUUACUUGUCCUUCCAACUCAAUCUCAGAUCGCCUAACAAACAAUGAAACAAAUCACCUCCUAGGAUCUUAUUAUUUUUACAUUAUCACUUCCUUGCUAUUACGUACAGAAUCCAAAACUCCCAAAUUAUUCCCAAUUAUGUAAAUCACAAGGAAUAUAUGUACGUGUGCCCUGCUUUGCUGAUUAGAUUCGUAUACGUAGUAAAAGCAAAUAAUAUGAAUGGCGUAGUUUCACGAUCAGAAACAUAAAGCUAAAGUUUGUAUAGAUUAAAGCAUUGGAUGCCAUUCAAAGAUCCAACAAUUCAGAACCAUCAUACUAUAAGCUUUAUAUGUCUUUUACCUUUUUCUAUGAAGACAGACACCAAACUACAAUGUUCUCAUGAAUGAAAUUAAGAGACAAGAAUAUAUACAUAGCCACAUGUCAGGCUGAUUAUUAAUGAGAAACCCUAAUGCGCGUGUAGAAAACCCAGAGAAUUUUCCUAUCAUAUGGGAUUCAAGAUUCUUAAGCGCACUUGGUUUAAGUUGUAUCCUGGUUUGACAUAGACCAAACUCUUUAGUCUGUGCUUUACGAUUGAUUUGAAUUGUGAAAGAAAUGGACUUAUAUUGCAUCAAGCAGCGGAAAAAUGAUCGAGCCAGCUUUAGUGCUACCAAUUUCAAAGUUGAUGGGUUCUCAGCAGGGCAAGACCUCACAUUAAAUGAAAGAUACUCCACACAAUUUAAUUUACGAAAACUAGAAAAGAGACAAUUAGUGAUGUUUUGUGGUUGGAACUUGGAAAGUUUGGGCAAAUUCUGCUUAAUUUAAACAGACAAAUUAAGAUUGAAAGCUAUGCAACUUCCAACUCUAAAAAGCUCAGUCACAUUAUUGCAUACACACACACACACUUAUUUAUGGUAGACCGUAUAGAAAACAAUGAUGAAGAUUUUGAUCUCCUAGUGAUUCAUUUUCACAGCCAAGUGCAAACAUAUUUGAUAUAGAAAAUCGUCAGGAACGUCGACAAAGAGCGAUAUCCAACAAGGUAGCGAUGAGUGAUGACCCCAGAGAAAAGAGAGUAUCGAGUAGCAUUAGAGAUUUGGGACUAUAUAUGGAUGUACUAAUAUUGGAGAGAGUAUUAUUUGUCUCGGAAGUUUCUAUUUCAAGACGACAGAAUUUGAUCGGUUGGAAGAGUUAUCUGACCAACGUUUAUGCGAGGGAGUUGAUGAUGGGCAUGGUAAUCAACAUCAGAAAGAGUAAUGGUGCCGGUGAGUGAGUCGACGACGAUGACGCUGCUGAAGAGGGUGAGACCUUGAGAUCGAGUUGUAAUAGUGUUUGCUACCAAGAGUUUCGGACUAAGAUGUGUUGCUCCCUUGCUCACAUGUUUUUGGCAGCAAGGGCAAAGGGAGUUGGCUGAGAGCGAGUCAUUAUGUCUUCUCUGCCGAUAUAACAUGCCUACAGAUUAUUGCUCUUUGCUAGUGUGGAGUGUUCUUAAUUUUCUUUUUGGACAAUAUAUUCCUAUAUAAUAUAAUCUUCAUGACAUCCCUGGUGCCUUAGCUUGUUUAUUUGUGAACUAUGUUCACUUAAUGAUAAGUAGUUUUCCUAAUUUGUGACCAAGUUUCACAAGAAUCUGAAUAAAAAUGAACGUUGCAAGCAUGUUACUAAUCGACUAGACGAGGGAUAUGGAUUUUAGUGGUUCAAAAUUUGGGUAACUUUUCUUUUGCUUCUGGUAAAGGUUUAGAUUUCAUUGAAAUAAAAAGAAUAAAAGAAAAAAAGAAGAGGAAACGGGAACCACAACCUGUAGGGAAUAGUAUACACCUAUACAAUGACCAAAGUCAAUAGCUCAAAGAAAUUCGAAAAACACCAAAUAAGCUUUACCACUCAAAGUUUGGAAAGAACUUGGUCUCAUUAAACCAUAUAAAUUUAGACCUCUGAAAGCUUCAGGUGCAAUUCCCAACUUCACAUACUCAAAAAUAGCAUUUGAAAAUGUGACGCUUUUGGUCGAACAAUAGUGAAUGCUUUUCAACUCCUAGUUCACAGCAAGUAGCUAAUUUCAAUUAAGAAAAGAAACCAAAUACAGCACUUGUCAAUUAUUACAGUGUUGCAUAUGAUUGAGGAAUUCACUAAAAAAGUAUACUAUCAAACAAUGUGGUACAAUGACAUGAUCCGCUAAAUUUGGAACUAGCAAUAUGACAAGUGUUACCGAUAAAGGAGAAUGAAAACUCAAGUCAAAAUUUGCCAAGAAAUGACUGGUUCAUGAGCAUGCAGUGUAAAGUACGAUGCUAAGUUGCUAACCACAGAGCUGCAUAAUGAGAAGAAGGCUAGUUCCACCUUGGAAUCUAACCACUGCGCAUCAACUGGGUUGUAGGUGAUGCGGAUUCUACUAGUAUACUCUCUCUAAUUGGUUUGUAUUUUCUAAUCCCUUGACCCAGAUAAUGCGUCUUCAACGCUCACCAAGGUCCUAACUCUGGAGAAGGGUAUCAAAGUUAAUAUCUUUUAAUCAAGGCACUAUUUGUUCUAACAGAACCCUGAUACUUCACCUAUCUUCUUCUUUGUUUUCUUCGACAUUCAAAGCAAUCUGAACAUGGAGAUCUGAUUUUACUUGUAUAAGAUGCUUGCAGCUUGCUAGGUGGUACUUUCAGGUCUUCAACUAGUAUAUGGCGAAGCUUCUCAUUCUCCUCUGUGAGCUCGUCAAUGAUUUGCUGGUGUUUCAAUACCUGAGACAACAUAAAUUCAAUUAAACAAUUCUAUUACAUUUUCCUAACAGGAGUUGAACAGUUUUAGUAGCUUGAAACAAAAUUGAAGAAAGCAAUUGUUUAGUUGAAUAUUUAGAAAAGAAAAAGGUUGAAUUCUUGAUACAAAGGUGAUGUAUGAGCUACAGAAAAUUGGACUCUACAACACAUGAUAACUUGUUCAAAAACUUGUCAAAUGCUCUAAAAACCACAUUGGAACAACAAUAAAUACUAUAACUAUCUGCUACUAUUACAUUGAAACCACAGAAAAGGGAUCAGAUAUUUGUCAGAAAAAAUGACUUCUUAGCAUAUCUUGAAGGCUGUGAGGAAACUCACAAGUUGGACAUAUCAAAUAGGUAUUUACCAAGCAAUAACAUCACCACCAUAGUUGUCUCUUAGUCUCUUAGAUCCAUCACUUGGGAAAAAUUAAUAAUAUUAUAAAAUAAUUAUAAUAAAAAGGAAUCAAUUGAAACCACAAGUCAAUAUUUACUACCAUUUGAAGGAUUUUAUUCUCCGACCUCAAGCGUCCAGCCUACAAAGGUAAAAUCAAUAAAAAUUAGUACAAAAGUAACAUGAAUGGCAGACACACCCAGGUACCUACUACGCCACUACAGAUUGCAGAGAGAGAAAGUGAAAGAGAGAUCAAACCAAAGGGUCUGCAAUAAAAUCACAAAAAUUUCAGACUUAGAGUUGGAACCUGUACAUACCACGUCACUUAGUUCACUAUCCUCUCCCUUCAAAACUGGACUCUGUAAAAAGCUGCUGAGAACCUUCUCUGUACGACUGCCAAAAGGUGUAUCAACUGGAGAGCUUGUUGAUGUAAAAUUAUCAUAAGUUGAACCUGUACCCUUAUUUCCAUAUCCAGGCAAGCCUUGAGUUGCAUAGUCUGCUGGUUUUGUUGCCAUCUGCAUUAUAUUUCCGACUGGAUUUUGGCUUGAUGAAUCAUUCAUAACGCCAAUGCCGCUUUGCAAUGAACUUGGAAUGGCACCUUGAAGGAUUGGUAAAUUGGGAGAAAUUCCAAAUUUUGUCAUCAUUUUUGCCAUUGUUUGCUGGAGAAUUUAGAGUCAGAAACAUAGUAGUAGGCUCCAACGGGAAUUAACACAUGAAAAAGCAAAGUAAUACUUACCAUAGAAAACAGUUGAAUUUGUUGCAAAAUCCCUGGUUUCAGAGCAAGGCCUGCAUUUGGAAGCAAUAGUAAAUGAAUAUUGUUACAAUGUAGGAACUACAAAGUAAAAUGUAUUAACUUAGUAUACAACGUCAUAAGAUAUGAGUGCAAUUGAUUUGGUGUGAUUUAGAACAAUGUACAAUAACUUGGAAUAAUUGAAAGCUGAAGAAUGAAAUUUGUUUCUUAUUGAGAUCUUAAACUCAACUGCAAACGCUAGUGAGAUUACUAAACACAAACGUUCGUCAGUCUAUGACAUUAGUGAUGUAGUGAUUACUCUUAUUCAAAAAAUUAAGUUAUAUCUACAUAAGCAAUUGAUAGAUGCGACUUAUUGAAUAGAAAGGUAGAUGGUAGGACCAUCAUACAUGUGUUAAACUUUAAUAGUCUGAUGACUCCUCUAUUAAGUUUUUGGAGUCAGUCAUUAUAGUGCUAAAAUACAGUUCAUUCUUUGGUAAUCCAACUUCACUAAAAAUACCAACUUGAAAUUCAAAAUAUUGAGGAAAUAUGAAAGAAUACUGAAAAUACUAUGGAGAUCAAGGAUACAUAAUAACAUAUAGGUAAAGUCUGAAUGUUUUUUUUUUUUAAUCAAAGGGUCAACUCUUUAUUGAAUAUAGAACUAAAUUAUACGUUACAAAUAUCAGCUGCUAUAGCAGAGUGAAUAAAAUUGGUGCAGAACUAAGUCUGAAUGUUUUUGUAACUGCUAGACACCAUACAAUCAAUUUUGCUAAAGCAUUUUACAUCCACGCUAUUCGGUGCUUAUGACCAAGGAGAGCAUCCAGUCCUUUCACACCCAAAACAAGGUAAACAACUUAAUAAAGAAUAAAUGAAUUUCUUCAAUAAGCCACGGAUAUUCAGUGAUAAUUUAGUUUAAAAUUCUUAGGUAUGUUGAUAGUAAUUUACAUUACGCGCAUCAACAUUUCCUCAUGAAAACAAAAAAAACAAAGCAUUUCAAAAUAUUCAACUAUCGUAUUACUAUGUAUGAAUCAAAUGGUUUGGAUAACAGAAGCAAAUAAGAAAUAUGUAAAUGAAAUAAUGUCAAUAUAGGAAAGAGAAUAUAUUAUAAUACUGAUUCUCCUAGAAGCAGAUAAGAUGACAUACCAACUCCAAAGCCAUGUCCAAAACCAACGCCACAACCAAUGCCGGCUUCAAUGUUCUUUGCUCCAACCUUCCUUAACUGGACAAUGAGAAAGCAGAAUAAGACAUUUGGGAAUCCUUCAACACUUGUAUAAUGAUUUUCUCUUCCUAUCUCAUAUCAAGACACAGAAUACUCCCGAGAAUCCAAGACUGAAAAGGAAAAAGUUAUUCGACUUACGGCGUCAGUUACAUGUCUGCUAACUCCCGAAAAAGCAUCAGUGGCACCUCUUGUGGCACCCAUGACUUGAUUUACCACUGGUACUGCACCUGGUAUAUAGCCAAAGUAAUGUGUGAGUUAACUAAUAUCUACUAGUCCGCUACAACCAUAGAAGAAAUCUCUUGUCAAUGAUAUCUUUACUUGAGGACACUUGUGACUUAAUUUUAUAGAUUAAUGAUAAUAUAUAUAUAUAUAUAUAUAUAUAGAAUUAUCUUUUUACUCCUGCUAUUCUCUGCGCUUGUAAUUUCGUGAAAGAAGGAUUGGAAAAGAUUUCUAUCUGAAGGUUUUGGCUGACAGAAAAUACACAUACAUAAAAUAUAAAAUUUGAAAAGACUAUUAGAUCAAUGGACUAAAUGAGCAAGGAUAAUAAAAGGCUCUAUAAACAAUAGAAAACUCAGAUUUACGAUCAUAAGUGACAAAGACCAAAUGUACUUUAAGUACUAAAAAUAAUGAGGAAAGGGAUAUGCAUACUUGAAUUUUUGGAUUAUUGAGAUGCCAAAAGGACAAAUACAUUUUCAGUGUACAUAGUAUAUUCCCUGCGUUGCUACAACUCUUUAAGUCUUUAACUUAUAGGUCAAUUAGAGCACGCAUAGGUACAGUGAUGCCCAUCAAGCCUAUAAUAUAAAUACCGAAUUCUAUGUGCUAAACGUGUCUUGUUUUAUAGAACUAAGCACAAAUGGACAUGAAAACAUUCAUUUUUUAAGCACAUGUUAAUGCUGAUUUCUUUCAUUUCUCCCUUCCUCUAAGUUGUUUUCCUCGACUCAAAGGUUAGCAAUGCAGCUUUCCCUUUUCAUUCAUACUUAGACAGGAGUUAAUAUCUUGGAUCAUGCAUGCUAACAAAGUAACAAUGUGGCUAUGUCAGGUGAAUGAUCCUACAUUAGUAGCUUUGGUGACUUGUGGAUAACCUACCAAAUAACCACUAAAACACAUGUGGAAUAUAUUGGUCUUGGAACUCAAAUCCAUUGCCUAUCAGAUAGUGUAAAACUAAGAACUCUCUACCUUCAAAACAACAAUUUAAACUGCUCUGAUGACUACAAAUUGAAUUGAUUUCCAUGUAUGACUACACAACACCAAUUCAAUGUUUCAGAAUAUGAGAUCUCAGAAAUGAGCAAGAGUGGUAAACUAUAGUUCUUGGAAAUAUAAAGGACACCAGGUCCACCAAUAUCGUUGUAUCAACAAAUCCUUCAUUAUCUAAAACGAUAUAAGCACAAGAGACUCAAAUCAGAACAUAGCUUCAAACUGCACACACCCCACGAUCACAUAUUGACUAGAACCACAAUGCGCAAACCUCAAAACAACCAAAUUCUCUACAUCAAAACCAACGCACACUGCAGCUACACUAGCAAAUAACCAAAUGCAAUAUCUAUAAACAAUCAACCAAUCUUCCUUCAUUCACUAAAGGUCUAAAGCCAACAUGAAACAGCUUAAUCACAUUUCCCUACACUAACUCAGCAACCAAAAACACGACCGAAAUUUGAAAACCAAACAAACAAACAGUCCAUUAGAACCUUGUGAGUGAUGGGUUUCACCAUUUUUGGGCUUGAAGAGCCUCCCAAAGUCCAUCUUCAAUAUUUUAAAACUCACAGAGAACAAAGCUACACAACACUGAGAGAGAUAGCAAGGACUAAAAGAAAAGGGUGAGUACCUAAAUUAAUGGGGCGGCCAACGCCGAUACCAACACCACAGCCUAUGCCAAACCCAGUAAAUACUUGACCCACUUUCAAAGUAAACGGAUUCCCUAUUCGAAUCGGCUUCUUCUCAUUGGCCACCACCACCACCUUACUGCUUCCCUCCAUAUUCCCCAAAAAAGCUUCUCUCUUUUCAAAAACCCAAGUCUCUCUCUUUCUUUAGUCUUUCACAAAGCUAAAGCUUCAACCUUUUCUUUCUUUCCUCUUCAAAUUUCCCACCUUUGCCCUCUCUGUGAAGCCUGAACUGUAAGUCUGAUACAAUUUUAGGCAGGAGGCAAACUGAACAGAGUUUCUACUCCUCUGCUUACAAAACCAUUAUAGUAAUCUUAGGCUUCAAGUGAUGAACCAAUAUAAACAUGACACAGCAACAAUGAGGAGGUCAAUUACCAGAUUACCUUCAUACCUAAGAAGUAAGGUACUAACCAAGUGUCAAAGAAAGAGGUUAGCUGGAGUUGUUUGGGCCUAUUGGGCAGGUUAAUUUUUGACGCGGCCCGGCCCAUUGUUUGGGUUCUGACACUGAUAACCCGCCUUAUACUGAUUCUUUGCUUCUGCUAGUGCUAGAUUUUGGGGCACGGUUUCUGGGUGAGCUUCUUCAUCUUUGUUUUGUUUCCUUGUUUUUCGUUUCUCUGUUUUCAUUUUGCUGCAUUUUUAGUAUGUGGGUUUUGUGAGUUUGGGGGCUUUUUGCGUGAACGUUUAGAGAGUUUUUGGUGUGGGAAUGUAGGUUUUGAAAGGUGUGAUCUUGAUGGGUUCUUUUCUGUGUGUUUUGGUUUCUGCAAAUUUGGGUGAGUUUCCUCACCUCUUCUUCUUUCUUUUCCUUUUUUGUUUCCUGCAUUUUUAUUGGGUACAAAAAGUUGGUUUUGCUGAGGUUGGGGUUUUUGAGGAUUCUGGAUUGGAGUUGUGGGUUUGGACUAUGGAGUAUGGAUCAUGUGUUGAAACGAGCUUUCCAAAGUAGAGUUUUCUGCAACUGUAGCCUUGUAUAGUUGUGUACUUGUGUUUAGAGAAAUGGGUAGGAAUAGAACAUUCACCAAGUGUUAUGAAUCCCAUUUGCUUAAUUGGGUUACAAGAUAGGGAUAGGUUUACUUACCCGUUACCCCUCAUGGGGUUCUUUUCAGUUUGGUUAUCUGUUGUGUUUUGGACUUUUAUGUUUAAUAGAUUAUUCAGGGUUUCUGCUUUUGGUUGUACUAUGGAACGUUUAUAUGUAUGUUCUGAGUGUUGUGUGAACUUUAAUUGGUGAUCCAAUCUUUCUAGCAAAGUGUCCCGCACAGUGCUCACUUUGAACACAAAAGGUUUCGACCUUAUCUUCACUUGUGGAAGUUGAGGAAAUCUGUCAAAUGGAGCCUAUUCUACAUAUUCGAUCUUUUGCUGCACUAUAUUCAUGAACACUUUCGUCACAGCUCUUGAUUUUUAACUAGUCCCCUGCUAGUGAAUUUUGUGCGACCAUUGGUACCCCAAUGUUGUUUUAGGUUGAACUUUUUCCUCAGCUUCUGUUUGUUUCUUCAGUUUUGAAAUUUUCCAGCUUGUCUUCAGGUUCCUAUAUAGUGUGUAGGAAAUCUGCUAUGCUUGUUGAGUUUCUGGUAACUAGAUUGUUUGUGGAUUUUGUUGCUUACUUGCUUUGGUUGCAUAUUAACUAUAUAAAAUCUGUAGAUGUGCUCAAGUAUUUAUGUGUACUUUCAAUUAGUAUUUCAGUUUCUUUUUACAUAAUCAUAUGUGGUUUAGCACAUUCAUUUUACUUUACAAAAUUUGGAGUAUGGUAAUUGUUGAAGCUAACAAUAGUCUCUUCGUGGAUCAGGUGUCAACAUCGCUUACCAUUUAUGACAAGCUUCCAUCAGGAAAAAUCAUUGCUUCUGUCAAACUCUGUGAUUACAAAUCUGGCAAGGUAUUCAACUUAUGUUAGCCUUUGAAGUAUACAUGAAUUUGCAGUUCAGCUGCAACUUAUAUCCACAUUUCUUUUAUCUAUUGCUGCAGUACCUUUAUGAACAAGUAAAAAGCAGUUGAUCUGAACUAAUCCUCUGCUAUUUGUUUUUGCAUAGUAAUUGGCGGUCCUAGCAUUAUUUCAGGAGGGGAAACUAGAUACUUGACAACUUCAGUUACAUUUGUAAACGAUAUUGCUGGUCUAAGCUUGACAGAGCCAAAUUCCUUUGAUUUAGUAGUUCUGUAAGUUGGCCACUAACAGAAAAGUACCUGUAGUUUUUGGAUGAUUAAACAGACAAACAUACUGUUGUUAUUUAGGUUUGUCGCAGUGUCUUUUGGUUGCUAGUCAAUAAGAAUACUUGUCUUUGAUGGUUAUUGUGAUUUUAGGUUCUUGAGCAUUACAUAGGGUUAUGUGUUAUCGUUGCAGGAUUUGGAAUCAUCAAUUGUAUCACUAAGUGGUAUCCAUUUUCAAGUAGGAUUUGGAACGUUGCCUAUGGAAAAUUCUGAGCUACCAGCGUAUAAGCGGUGUAGAGUCUCUGCUGUUCGUGACUUUCCUAUUGGGUGUGGACCAUUUGCUCACUUGAGUAAUUUGAAUGCCAAUGGUACAGAGAAGAUUUCAGAUAAAAAAUAUCCUCCUCGAUCAGUAGAAGCUGUUCGGGAUUUUCCACCUUUAUGUGGGAUCAAUGCUUCUCCGGAGGCCAGGAAAUUCAGCAAAGAGAAGUCAGUUAGGGGUUAUAAGCCCUUGUCAUCAAAGACAGCGAAGAAUAAUGAGAAACAAACAGGACUUGGGAACAAAGUUCAACCCAACAUUGAGAAGAAAAUUGGAGGACACUCUCUAAAGAAGAAUAAUCAUGUACCAGUAAAGGCUGCUUGUCAAGGUACAAGUCAGCCUGAUAUAAGGAAGAAGGAGUAUUCUCAGCAUGAUGAAAAAGAACAUAAUCUUGUGAUUCCAAAAUCACGGAGUACAGAUGGGUGCCCUCCUCCUUUUGGUUAUAGUAGUUUGAGCCGCAGAAGUCAUGAUAAUGACACGAGUGAAAGGAACAAGGUAAAGGAGAUAUUGCAUUUGUUCCGAGAUGAAUGUCAGAAGCUCUUGCUGGAGGAAGAAAAUAAAAGGUCAAGGGGUGUGGGAACUUCUCACCGAAGGGUUGAUUUGGAAGCCUUCAAGAUCCUCAAGGAUAGGGGAAUCUCUAUAAAAUCAGGCAAACAUGUCAUAGGAGAUAUUCCAGGAGUUGAAAUUGGUGAUAAGUUUCAUUACCGAGUGGAACUUAUCCUUAUUGGCCUCCAUCACCAGAUACAAAGUGGUAUAGCUUAUGGACAUUUCGGUGGAAAGGUCCUUGCAACCAGUAUCGUUGCAUCUGGUGGCUAUGCAGAUGAUUUGCAUAGUAAAGAUUCAUUGAUCUAUACUGGCCAUGGAGGAAAUGCAAAUCCAAAGGACCCUCAAGAUCAGAAGCUUGAACGGGGAAAUCUUGCUUUAAAGAAUAGUGUGCAAAAGAACCCUGUUAGAGUGAUCCGUGGCUCCGAACUAGUGGAUGGAAGCAGGACAUAUUUCUAUGAUGGAUUAUAUAUGGUAGAGAAAUGUUGGCAGGGUAGAGGUGCUCAUGGUAAGCUUGUUUUCAAGUUUCAGAUGAACAGAAUUGGAAGCAUUGGAAAUUGACGUGUGAGGUUAGUACUACUUAUUCAUCUAUAAGAUAUUUGGAUAUUAUAAGUUAGAACUCGGUUAGUUACAUAUAUCGUGCAUUGUACUGCAUUUGGUUGAGUGGAUGCAUGCAAAUAUGAAAUACUAUCAUAACUGAUGAACUGAAAAUGCAUUGAAUAUGAUUAGACCAUGAAUCCAUUCUUUAUCAUGGUUUCUGAUUUAUGUAGUGUUGAUUCCGUUGGAGUUAAUUUGGUUGUUUUUCGUCCCCACAGAUGCAUGCUUGAACUUGGGUAUACAAGGAAGAAUUGCCAGCCAGUAUUUGACCCAUCUAAAAGAGCUAAGCGGAUGUUUUGUAAAAAGGAUUUUCCAGCGGUUAGUAAGGUGUUUCUGUGACAGGUAGAGUAGAUAAACCGACUUUUGUGAAGAACUUUAGCAUUGAAAAAAAAAAAAAAACUUCUGUGAAGAACUUGACAGUGAGGCACAGAUCGAUGUACUGUCUAGAUAGUGUGAAGCUUGUUAUCGAUGUAAUUAGGUCUAAACUUAAUGUAGGCAGUAUUACGUGACAGUUAUGUGAAUGCUGUGUUGAGUUUGAUAUUGAUCAUGUUUUGCUUGCUAGUUGCAGGAGUUGGCAAUUGCUCUAGUGUGUAAAGUGCAGUUUCAAAUUUCUUGAACUGCGAUUUCCCGCCCAUUAUUAUUGUCACACCUAUAGUAUAAUACACCUUGUUCAUAACCCAAAAGCCCCUAUCAGUUUUAUGAAGAUGCAUAGCUCUGAAUAAAUCGCAAGAAAAGCAUCAAUAAUUUUUCAUAGAUGAACUUUCUCAGAUAAAUAUGUAAGAUCAAUACCUUGCCAGCAAAUAAUUUUCAGGUAGAAAGCAAGAAAUGGACUUAACAUAUAAAUCGUUGCGAAUUAAAAUGCGUGGCAUUCUAAUAUAAUCAUGUCCACUGCAAGGUGUUGGGUGUUGGGGUGGACUAGAGGCUAAACUCGAUCUGUACAAGGAAAAAUUCGAAGUGUCAUAUGUUCUCCCUGGACUUUUUGUUUAGCAAACUAGCACCAACAAAAAAAACUAUACAAUUGUCAUAAAAUAAAGAUGCUGUAAUUUAGAGUGGAAGAUAACUUUAUGUUAAGUCUUUAGUUUCAACAAUCAAAUUUUGCGAGUGAUCCCCAACUAAGUGUGAUAUCUCAUUGAAAUUUUACUGAUUUUGGUUAACGUGUUGAAUGCCAAGCCUACUUACUACAAACCUUCAUUUCAUCGUAAUAUUUACCAUGUAUAUAUCUUGUGUUUAUGUAGUACAAAUAAGAGCAAUAUUAUCAAUUCUAUAUUCGUGAAGUUUUUACACAAGUCCUAAAUAAGAUCAAUUCUUAUUUUAUGGUUAUCUAAGUGACAUCGCUCGUGUAAAGGGAGGUGAAUAUGUGGUUGUCACAGAGGUGCGUGGAGGAGAGAUUGGUUGUGAAAAUAUAGCCGCAAAUGGCAAAUUAUAAUUCUUACGAAUUCAUUCAAAGUAGAUAAAUUUAUGAAACAAUUAAAGAUGUGAAUUGUAGAUAAAAUUUUAAAGUCAAUAGCGUGAGGAAUAAAAUGAAGUUGUACAUAUGUGCUUACCACCACAUGUAUAAAGUUAGGCCUUUUUUUUCUUUUUU